rnacentral:lncRNA from 1 species
UUGUGUGGUUAGAAAGAGAAAUAUCGCCAGCCUCACUUUUCUCCCCAACCCGGCCCCUCUUUCUUUCCUCUCUUCCUCAUGCCCUCAUGCCGGUCUUGCUUUGGCAGAAAAGAAACGUACAAACCAGAGGGGCAGAGCAUCGCAAGCGAGAUGGCAGUAUGAUCUGUGGGUCGGGGCUAGGCCGGCCAGCAAGCUGGCGAUGGCAGAAGCCAUGCGCGCUGGCCGGUGGCCCUCAAAAGAGGGAGAAGAUGAGCGAGAAAGGGGUUUUUUUUCGGAGAGGAGAUGGACAGAGAGCUUGAGAGAGAUCGAAGAGCUCGAGAGAACGGAGGGCGAGCCAGAGGGAGAGAGUGAGACCGAGAGAGCGUUUCGGCAUUUCCUGAGAUCCGCCCGUUGCUCAUCGUCCGAACCGGGUAAGUCUUCCGAACCGUUGGUGCUCCGUUUUAGGAGGUGUUGGACCGGAGCUCGCGACCGACCAUUUCGCGCGAGCUUCGGUCCCGCUGGUCCUUCGUUGAUUUUGUUGCGCGUUCUGGUAUGUUUCGGUAGGAACUUAGGGCUGUGUUUGAGUCUCGAUCACGUCGGAAAUCUCUCGUUCGAGUCGCGCACGUCAACUGUUUGCAGGGAUGCUUGAAUGAAGUCCGAGUAUUCUUAGUUGGUCUUGACCGAGCCUUAUCGUCCUUGAGUUCAUAUCCAUAUUAAAUUUGAUGCAAUCUGUCUCUGAGUUGGUCUGGAAUGUUGUUUGUGUGUCGAUUAUCGUUGCUUGGUCCGAACAAUAGCCCCGGACGAGCUUGGUCCUCCCUCUCGCUGGUGCAUUCUAUCUGUUUGAUGAAAUGUCAAAAUGAGAUUUGGAAAUGGUUUCUGCGAGGUUUGUUGCUGUGAUAUUGUCUUUGUUCGAGUUUGAGUCGCUUCCAUCGUGUUGUUUGCUCAUGCCGGUGUUAUUACACAAAUCGACGGAGUUUUAGUCAUACGAAAAUUUAGAGCUCAAAAAUCUAAUCUUUCGUCAGAAGCAUUCCGGCAACGGUGAUGAUCUCCGGUCAACUAGUGGCCGGCGGAGGUUCGGCGGUGGAAGGGUCGCCGGUCGUUCCGGGCUGCGUCGUUAUUUGGCUGAGUUUCGAUGAGGCCAUGUUUUGGGGAAGAGAAGGCUUCGGGCGUGCAGAGAGGAUGCACGAGGGAGAAGAAGACCAAAGGGGAGGAAGAAUAAUAAUAAAUAAAUAAAUAAAUAAAAAAGGAAAGGCAAGAGAAAACCGCAGCAAAAAUUAAAAAAAAAGAGAAAAGAAAUAAGAAGGGACAAAUCGGAGGAGAAGACGUUGGGACAUGGAGGGACGUUCUGCGAAGAAUGCAUAUAGCAAGAAAAAGACAAAACAGGGAUAACUCAAAAAGGAAAAAAAAAAAUAUAUAUAUAUAUAUUUAUUUAUCUUUUUUUUUCCAAUGGGCUUAAAUUUUGGGCUUCCUCUUGGAUUUUGGUAUUACGAAGGUAAUGCACUUCUACGGCACUUCGAUAUAAUAGCCGAUGAUGGUUAAUCAAUGGCAAUUCAAUGGCAAUUCAAUGUGCAUUGGUAUCCUGGAUUAUAUAAGGAAUCUCACGGAUCUUUGUGAUUAUCAAGUAUGUAUUGCCAUCACGGUUAGGCCCAUGAGGAGACCAUGGGUGAAAAGCAUGUUGGCAUCGAUUGGCAAUAAUUAGAGAUUUGGGUCAAAAUUUGUCGGUGCAAAGGAACAUCGGACUUGGAAUGAGGGGAAUUGGCCCAACGUGGUAGACUCACAUGUGAGGGGGAAAAUGUUGAGUGCUCAAGUGAGUGGUAUGAAAAUAAAGUAGUCCCAUAUUAGACGUCCAAAGUUAAAAGAAGCAAUAGAUAAUACCUAGUUAAGGAGGACCUUUCUUAUUUAUGAAGCCGGUCUAAUGAAAUGCCAUAAGAGGAACUCAAUCACUAAAUCGAUUCAUUAAAAUAAAUAAAUACACCCUCAUCUAUGUUACGCAUGUUAAUGGAUCUAAAAGCAGUCAUAAUAACAAUUUUUACUCGAUAAAUAAAAGAACUAUUUUGCCUCAUGUAUCAUUAAGAGGAUGAGAGAAAAGAGAUGGUCAUUGAAGAACGACAAUAAAAUUAAAAUGAAUAAAUAUCUGUGAAUCUUGCAUCGGUACCUAUUCUAAUUAAAAGGGCAGAAUGGCAUAAACAAUUUUUACUCGAUACCAGGGGAAAAGGAAUAGGAAAAAAUGUGUAAGCGCUCCAAUGCUUUCAGCCACUUUGUAUUUGACCAUUUCCAUUUAUUUCAACACCAAAUUAGAUUACAUAACAAUAAAUUAUGGAUACACGUUCAUCUUUGUAAAAAUGAGCUGUUACACUACUUAAGCCCAUUAUUAUGUUAGCCUUAGCACAUAUAUUAUUUAAGAAGGACUUCUUCUUUCCUUCUUCGUUAAUAACAAACGAGAAGGACCAAGAACAUUAUAAGGAAAGAACAGUGAACAUGCACGAGGAGAAGAAAGAAAGGAAAAACCUAUCCAAGGGAACUUGAUUGCCUAUGUCACAGGCAUUAAAUUUGACCAUAGUUAGACACCAAGUAUUAGAUCAAUCCAUGGAAUGGAUCAUCAUUAACAUUUGACUUGUUUGAGAUUAAUCAAUGAAAUAUACCAUUAAUGGUUGGCUUGUUAUUGUGAGUUGAUAUUGUUGAUUGAUCUUAUAUGUAAAAAGUUUCGUUGGAAAGAUAUUAUCCACUUUUGAUAUUUUACUUAUAUCCUAUACGAGAUUUUGGGUUGAGUUAUGAUAUCGAUUAAUAAUAAUCUGUAUAUAAAAGAUGUACUACUUAUUGGACUAUGAUUGCUCAUUUUAUUCAUCUUACUUGCUUUUCAAGUUUUUCAACUAACCGUAAGCAAGUAAAAUGAGAGCAUUUACAUUAUUGGGAUGACAUUUUGGAUAUUAUAUCUCAAAUGAACUCCUGAGUUUAGUUGUUAGAUUGACAUAUACCUAUUUUUUUGAUGGAUUAUAGAAACUCUAAUAUUAUAACCAGAUAACUCUUAAUCAUACAUAUGGAUGUAUAUUUCGAUAAUAGGUUGAUGGUAAUUAUGCUUAAGGUAGCGUUUUUUGAGUGAAAGGAUGGCCAUGUCAUUGCCCUUGCACUUGUAGAGUUGGGGUUGUGACAAUCCUCUAUUCUAGGACCGCAAGUCCUUCGGAUCUACAUUUAUAAUACUAGAAAAACCAAAUACAUUAAUUUUUAUUUAUGUUCCUGUGAAAUCCAUGUUUUCUCAAUUUGCAAGCUGUGAUGGUAUGCCUUGUUCCUUCAAAGGGCUGUUGACGGUGAGGGAACCCGCCUACAAUACUCUGCGAGAGCCCAUAAUGGGUAAAUGUUCCUGUAAUUGGGAUAGUGCAACAUGCAGUUCUUGUUGAAAACCCCAGUGAUUUCCUGCAAUGCCAAAGUUCAUGCUUAGAUCAUGUUGUUUGGUUGUAAGGCAAUUCUUACCGAAUCAGUUUCCCCUCUCAAUCAGUUUUCUUUUAUUUGCACUAGUUCCUGACGAUGUUUUGAGGAGUUGAACCAAUUGUUUGUAAGAUAAUAUGCGUGGACCAUAAUCAUCUCUACAUUUUCCUAGUUGCAUGGAUUAGUUCGCAGGAAAUUCUUUCCCAAGAUAUUGGUGGCGCGCACUCUUAUUUCCUGAGAUUUUAACCCUGUAUGAAAUCAACUUUCUGAAAGGUACAAACCUGUUGAGGAUAAUCACCGUCUUCCAUUUGAGAAUUGAUUAGCAGCUUUGCGGCAUGGUGCAGGGGAGUCGGAUCCCUCUCUGCCUGAUAGUAGAUGAACCAAAGUCAGAAACUUCACAUUGAAUAUUGAUUUUUUACUAUCACCAAAGAAUGUUUAAUGCCUUGGAGACCAAAACGACACAAUCAACUGACCUGCCCCGCGUGAAUCAGACCCAUCAUAGCCCAAGCGGUUUGCACCAGAUUUGAUCUGUUUCCUUCAAGCGGUACAUAUUCCUACAUCAACCCAUUUGGCAAACAGAAAAUUUAAGAUUUCCGUGUUGCCAGAAAAGCGUGCAACUAAAACAGCUAAAGCCAAACAUGCGGUGGAAGGUUCCUCUAGAAAUUACCUUCUUCGGGCAGGAAAGAUAGCUCUCUCCCCACCCGCCAUCCUGCAACUGUGUUCGUAGAAGAAAAGCGACUCCUUCGCGCAUCGCUGUGCAAUUGCUAUAUGUCUUACCAGCAGCCGCUAGUCCUCCAAGCGCAAACCAUGAGCCAUAUGUAAAACAAACUCCCCAGCACCCAUACCUGUAAGAAUUGCUCAGUUAGUCAGCUGUUUCUUUAAUUUAUCUGAAUUCUUCGGCAAUGCCCACUGGAAGAGGAACAUACCACGAGCCAUCUGGCUUUUGUACAUUCUCCAGAUACUUUACGGAAUUUGAUAUAAAAUCUGCAAUCUCCUUCUUCCUGUGCCCAGGAUACAACUUCCUGAGCAAAACUAAAGCUUGGAUAGCUGAGGACGUGCAUUCAACAUAUUCAUGCUCGAUGACAAUGUCCUCAAAGAACUCUGUCGGAUUUAGGAGCUGCAAGUGACAAAUGAUGAGGAAGAAGUCCCGCUAUAGUAAUUUAUGAACAAACAAACAUGUCUUAGUCCGUGAGGACCACCAAGGAAUUCCAAAAAAUUUAUCAAGUACUUACUUCUAGCCAAGCUGGAGCUCCUGCAGGCUCCCAUGCCGGCAAUCCACCAUUUUUACUCUGGAACAAGUGGCAUUCAUGGACGAUGUGAUGAUAUUGUAAAUAUAAUCAAACUCAACGAAAGAAUUAACUGGCAACGUGAUUUUGGGAUGCAUAAAGCAAACAAAGCUUAGCCAAUAUUUCUUGCUUGAUCAAAGAUUUUCUCAAGUCUUUCUCAAAAAAGAAAAACAAUGGUAUACUCACUUGUAGAGAAAGCAAAAUGUUGACAGCGUCAUACAAUUUCUCUGGCUCCAUCUUCUCACCAACAAUUUCAGGUGGCAUCAUUGAGAAAAGCAAGCAACACUGAAUAAACAGGGAAAAAUUCCGUGAGAAACUGAGCAAUUUAGGAUUGGAUUGAACCUGCAGAUACAGUGAAGGCAUUCGUUGGAGUAUUACCCUCAGACCUUCUGCAGUGCAAUCGGAGACUUGCCAACCGUGAUCUUGAUCCGAAAAUGUCCAGGAUCCUUUAGUAAUAUGACGGUGCAUGCUUUUGAAAUCACCAGAAGGAUUGUCCUUGACCUGGAAUAUUAUGAACAGAUCGAUGCACUUCAGUUUAUGCAAGGAAGCAAAAGAAACUAGCAAGAUGUUUGGAGAUAAGCGAUGCUCGCACAAUCAAAGAUCAAACCUGAGAUUUUUUUAUGAAGUCGUGUCCUCUAGCUAAUACCGGUGCUAUCUCCUCAGUCAUAUUACUGGCAAGCAAAGCUUGGAUGGCAAAGCCCGUGUCCCACUCUUGGCUACCAAAACUCUGCAUAUGAAUGAGCCAACCACCAAACUAAGCUUCCCUCUAGACGGUCACACUUUACUAAAUUAAUCUUCUCCUUAUUAUAAGAAUGCUUCCACCUUUCAAAUAUGCAGCAUAAGCACCUAUCAUUUCGAAUUAAGCCCAAUUCUGUCAUAGUUCCGUGACACUACUACUAACCUGCAUCUUCAUUCCAUCUUCGGCAACCCAAAGGUAAUCCGGUAUCCUAGCAAGAUGCUUCUUGAAAUAAUCACUGUCUGGGUCUUCUACCCAGCAAGCAAGCAUGCAUAAAACCUGUCCGAGUCCAAAGCAAAAGACAAAUUCUUAAUAAGGUUUUCCCACGAUGCAAGAAUUUUACACUUAAUGUGUCUUUCUCCUCAAAUUUAUUUAUUCAUUACCUUUUCUACACAUCCGAUUGUGAUAUAUCGACUGUUCUCAUCUUCGUAGUGAAUGUGUUUCAUCGUCACCUGAAGAGCCUUUUCUCUAAGUUUAUUAAACGGCCAACGGUUAAGAAGAGGCUCUGCAAAUAUGUAAAGACUAUCCCAGAUCAGAUCCUGUACUAGGGGAUGGGGAUAGUAGAGAUCCUCCUGCAACAACAAUUCGAGUCAUUUUGUUAAAAAUUUCUGACUCGUAAUCCAUCUGAUUCUAGAACGAUGUCUUGGACCUGUUAUGGAUACUUGCCUUGGCACAAAGAUGGCAGACUUUUCUCCAGCAAAUCGUGUCGUAGGGUUGAGUAUGAAGUUCUUCUCUCAACUGUUGAACAAGUGGUGUGAUGGGGCCGACGAAUCUUUUCCCAUACAAGUACGACAUGGGCAUGUACACCAUCCGACAGUAGCACCACAUCUUAGCUACAUCAUUCAAAACAGGACAUUCAGACAACAUAUCCAUAUAACUGAGGAGAAACGUAGUCACACGUAACAGAAGUUGAAGCUUUCUAUAUUUCAAGGUGAAUUCUGGAAGGGUGGCCAUUUCAAUAACAAGCCAAUGCCAUAUUCUUGUUUGUUCAGCAAAAUCACCGUGUUUUUCAAUUUGAAAAUAGUCCAAAAUUAUAUAUGCUAGACUACUAUAGAAUACCAUCAAGGACAAGAUCAAGAAAAUCUUCCAAAACAAACCUGGGUGCAUGGGCAGGAAUGAAGGCAAGAUCCAGAACUCAGGGGGCAUUGGGUUGGUUCCAGACCAAUCGAAAAGGCCGAAAAUCUACACAGAAUGUGACAAGACAACACACAUGCACAAGCACAAUGUCACAUAUCCAAUUCACCCAAACACCUGCGCAGAACAAUCUGGAGCACAAAUUUUGGUCAAUUACUGAAGGAAGAGUGAGAGAGUACCGAGAGCCAAGUCUUGCCCCAGGAGGGUAUGUAGGUGACCCCGCCACGGUCAAGAAUCCACUUCCUCGCCCGAGUACAAGCAUUGUCCUGGCCACCAUCAGGCCCUUCCCCGAGAAUGCGCAUGCAUAUGUAGCUCAGGGCCGUGCAGAACAUGGUGCUGUGACCUUCAAUGUGGAAGCCCCACCCACCAUCUCCAUUCUGCAACAAAAUUAAUGCAAAACACACAAACAGUUUCAAGACUAAGUCUUUCAAAGUUCCUCUGCUAUUUUCUCCAUCUGGGUGUCUUCCUUUUUGCGAAAAAAAGAGUAACCUGAUGGUUGUAGAGGUAGUGGAGAAUUUCUUUGCGGUGCUCGGCCGGGAAGACGGCGUUGAGGUGGCCGGUGAUGUAGACACACAUGACUAGGGGAGGGAGGAAGUAAAGAGGCCCGGCAAUCUCAGCAGGCCAGUGGCCAUCACUGGCCUGCAGUGCGGAGAAGAAGUGGACAGUCCUCCUCAGGGCGGUGGACGCUUUGUCGUACGUGAUCUCCUCGCCGUCCUCCACCCUCACCGGUGAGAUCGUCUGCUUGAACUGCUUCUCCCUCAGAAACUGCCCAGAAAUCAGGCACCAUGCAUCAGCUGUAGAUUGCCCAUUACUUCGUAUUGCCACACAUUAACAAAUUUUAAACUUAAUGACAAGCAACAACAGUGAAAUUCCAAUUGGCACUCUUUCUCAUUUUUAGAACACAAAUAAAAUUUUGGAUUAUGACAGGGAUUCAAACAACUCUCCUAUUAGUUUACAAAUGAUAUACCGAGGUUCUAAAGUGAUUUUGUAUGUGGAAGACAUAAUUCCGUUCCUCCAUAAGUGUGUUUAUGAUAUGAUUUAUCAUUUUGUAAACAGCUUUCGGUAAAAACUAUCUGUCCCUCAUCGUUACAAGGGGCAACAGAGGUUAUAGACUAGUUAUCUACAAACCCCAAGUCUCGAGAUCGAUACGAUUGCUCAGCCCGACUAAUUUAUGAGAUCUAGCAUUUCUUCUUAGAAUAUGGUGACAAGCUCAUAUUAACAACACAACUAAGAAUUUUCACGUUUUGGUGGACUUGGGGGAUUGCGCUAGAGCGAAAUUUUUGGAGAGGAAGAAGAGCCCAGAGGAGAGGGCGUGUGGCCAUGGAUCUUCUCCUUCAAAGUAGAGGCCCGACAGACACUGGAUAGCACGCUAUCUCCGUCACUGAGACUAAAUACAAAAUUAGCUAACAUAAUUGGGAAUUGAUUCUACCUAUCCAUGUCAAGUUUGAUAUGUAUGCCCGUGUACAAUGUACAGUUGCCUCUUAGUAAGCCUGUUGCUACAUGAGAAUGAGUAGGCAUGUAUGUGUGUUCAAGUAUGUGGUGUAUAUUAUGUAUGGGUGAGCAGUUUCAAGUUUUAUACAGAUUGUAUAUGAAAUCUGAAACAUAUUCGUUGAAACAGCUUCCUCAAUUUUUGGAAAUUAGAACCUACUCCGCAUACCUUAGAACUUGGAACUUAUCUUGUUAUAGGUUCUAAGAUUAGUUCCAGGGUCUAUUCAAGUUCCACCUAUAUUAUUAAUUAAACUAUUGUGAUGAAUUUAAACUUUUAAUGACCACAACUUGCCGUUACAAUUUACUGACCAUAAAGACAAGAAAAAUAUGAACAUUAAUAAAGUAAAAGUCUCGGUCAUAGAAUGUAAGCUCAAAUUAAUACUUCUAGAUUAUACACUUAUCAUCGAAUAGUAUGGAACAUCGUAAGAUCACACGAAGACAUGAACUAAGAAAAAUAUUAAAACUUAUUCUAGGUUUUAGGUUACAGGUUACAUAUUCCAAAUUUUACAUUCCUCCAAGUAAAAACUUGGAAUUUACCAGUCGAAAUAGAUUCCUCAUUUUUUGGAACCUAAAACCUACCCUGCAUACUUUGGAACCUGUAACCUAUAAGUUUCCAUCGGUCUAAUUCUCAAUUCCAGAUUUUACCCUAGAACUAUGCUCACUCCUAAUGAUAUGUACCUGCAUGCGCCAAAGGAGGUCACCACAGGCCUUGACUUGGUGGCGGUGGUCGUAGAAGUGCUGGCAGGUGGCCUCAACCUCGGCACGCUCCUCAGCGUUGCCAGCCUUAGGGUCGAACUCCCAAGUCUGCCUCCCCACGUAGUUGUUGGUGCUGUACAAGUAGGGGUCAUCCUCUCCUUCUGCUAUCUUCAGCUUCCACAUGCUCAGGUCUUCUCUUUUUCUCUCUUCGUUCAGCUGAUUAUAUCGGAACUCUCCUGUACUGUCCUUCCUGAGGAUCAUGCAAACGAACAAGUAAAACAACCCGCACAAGAAAAUGAUGAAUGAGUUGCCAGUUGCCACAAACCAAAAGUCAUCGAUGAACAAGGUCGCUAUAUAUCCAUGAACUAUGCUUGUUCUCUAAGGUUAUGUCACCAUGUGCAUGCAUAUCGCAUUAUAGAUAUCAAAAUAUAUCCCGCAGCGAUCUUGGUUUAGCAUGGCUAAAGCAUGAACUUAUCACACAGACAAACAGACAGACAGAGACACCUCUUUUGACUGUGAGGGAUAUGUGAGAGUUGUUGAGAAAAUAAUCAAGCUCUCUCUCCAAAACCAAGUGUUGCUGUGGUCUUUAGGAGAAGAAAGGGACCUCUAUUUAUACCCACGUUUUGGGUCGCCAGCUUCUUCCUACUUUCUUUAUCUCAUUUAAAAUAGUACUGAGGGUUUGCCAAACAAAAGUAAAAUAAUAUAUAUCAUCCUAUCAUCCCUAAUAAGAGCCAUGGCUUUUUCCAUCCUCUGAUUGGGUAGCAAUACCGGAACGGGCAUACAAACUCGACCAUCAUUAGCUUUCAUCAGCUCAAUCCUGCGGGGCUUCCAUAUCAAGUUGUAAUAUCAUUGGUCACCGUCUAGAGUCUAAUAUAAAUGUAUUUGUAUUGUAAGACAGUCGUAGAAAUGAAAAACGUAUAGUACACAACACGCUUAUUUGGCCACACAUUAUGUAGAAUUGCAUCACCAUAGAAGCAUCGUUUGCUUCACGGGAAAUGGGAUCUCAGUUCAAAAGAAUGUAAUUACAGCCUUUUGAAAGUACAUCCUACAAAAUAAGAAUAAGGUUCUUGAGAAUUCAAAUCCAAUUAAAAUACGACAUCAAAUUACUCUCAUAGUCUUGCUAUUAUGAUUUCGAUUCCGUGGCUUCCUAAUUGUGACAUGUAAACUUCUUGUAAUAAAUGAUGAAAGAUGUUCGUGUACUCCCCGUAUAAUUCGAGUCAUGGGUGAUCUAGGCAACAAAUUAGUGCUGACCUGCAGGCAUGAGCUCCUUUCCUCUAUUACUGGUAUAAGGGAUUGAGAUUACAUGAUUGUGGAUACGAAUAAGUAAAUACCAUCAAUCUUCUCAAAAGUACAUGACAAAAAUUUUGGCUUUACUUUGAUAACUCGAAAAUUUUGUUAUCAUAUAGAUAUACCGACCAUAUUAUGAAUGAGAAAACUUACAAACAAACAAAAAAAAAUGACCUUUUGAAUUACAAGAUUUUGUGAAAAAAACUCAUAUUUGCCUACUAUCUAAAAUUAAAUCGAAGAAAACUAUAUUUUUGUGCAUUGAUAGGUCGUGACGCUACCAUAACUUUGAUUUAUAAAUGACAAUUGAAUUGGCAUGUUGUUGAUUAAUAGAAAAUGAAAAGAUGUUAACUAAAUUGAAAAUCGAAGUAAUCUUUCCAGAGUACAUUAAGGCAUGUGCUCUAUACAUGCAUACUGCAUUAUACUUUAAAAGAACGAGUAUCUUCUAAAAGUUUAGUGAAGGUGUGAAAGGGGACAGGAUUUUAUUAAAAGUCAUGUAUAUAUGCUUAAUAAAAGUAAGAACAAACCACCGCCAGGAGUGGCGUAACUGGCUUCAGGCUCUCUCCCCCUCACGAAGGGAAGGAGUUCGAAUCCCACAAAUGUCGCAUUCGUGCGACUCACCCGUGGCUAGGUCUGUGGUGGUGGCUCAAUUCAUCUCGAGUUUACGUCGCCGGCUGCCAGCUGUACGGUGGUUCCCGGGUCACCAAAAAAAAAAAAGUAAGAACAAUAUUCAUCGCAAAUUUAAAUAUUUUGUUAAAUUAUGACCAGAAGAUUACUGGUGAAAAGCGUUAACUUUUUGUUAUGAAAAUCUAUUAACGUGGUUCACACGACAAGUUAAAUUAAUCGAAAAUUCUGAUUGAUGUGAGGAUUCGAUUGAGUAGCUAACUGUACUUUUCUAUGUCAAAAUCAGCGAGACUAAUCAGUGCCCCUUUUGUGCAUUAUUCUCCUGUGGUGAACAUGUGAGAGGUGGACAAAGGCAAGAAGGUCCUUAAAGGUGGGCGAGAUAAAUUUGACCUCGGUAUGGGAAGGUGUGCAAUUAGUCCUCGUGGUUGCGUGGAUAUCUUGAUUUAUUUCACUGAAUAUUGUCCAAACUCAACUAACCAUCAAAUUUCGGAUCGACAUCACCCUUCGAUGUGAAUGGUGUGAAAGAAAAGAAGUCGAAUGUCAAAUAUCCAAAGUUAAAAAGAAGCAAUCGAUGAUGCCGCAUUGACCUAUGACUCGAUAAGUCAAGCGUUAUUUUUCUUCUUCCGUAAAGCAAGGUCAACUGAGCAGUCGAUGGCUUCGAAGUCAUGACUUCCCUCUAGGAUCUCCUUCCCUCCACAAGUGUCACGCACGUGGCACUCUUUCAACGCUACUCAGCACAUUUUUAUCUCCGGUCUUCCCGAAGUUGCUGACAAGACACGAAGAAAUUUCGACCGAGAAUCCUGCGUCCCUCCCUCGCCAGCCUCAAGGCACGGUCAAACAAAGCCCCCUCCACCCACCAAACUCCUCGAAACGUGGCGAAAAUUUGUACAAGUGACGGUGGAUCGUGAACGAUACAAUGCCUACAAAUCCCUUCUAUUUCGUGCCUUCAGUUCUGGAGAACCUAGCUCGGGCCUCAAUCAUUAUCACCUGCAUUUCACGAGGCUCGUGAGGCGCGAAGUGCGCAUGAGAACCCAUUGUUUAAUGGGGGUUUCAAGGUCCCGCACCCGAGACUUACGCCUGCCUUUGUGGAAAGUCGAACCGCGAGAGACUUUCGACCCGGCAAUACAAUAUUUUCAUGUUUUGUCUCGACUUUUCAGUAAAGCAACUAGGCCAUGUCCUUGAACUUAGCGAUGUCGAGGACGACAAGGAAAGACGGGCUACUGGUGCCGUAUCAAUAUGGCAUAUUUGAAAGAGGACGAAGGCAAAGAAGAAAGAGAGGAAAAAGUUGGGGAAAUUUUCUAUAUUUCUAUAUAUUCAUCUCAAUGUACAAGGGUGAUAUUACAGUGCAAGCCAUGUACAAGAAAAGGCAACUAAAUAAUCUAUGAAUCAGAUCUGAUAUUAAUUGAUCCUAUGAUAUUAAUUGAUCCUAAAUAAUAUCUAGAAGAUAAUGCGUAUCUUCCAACACUUCCCCUCAAGCUGGUGGCUUGUAGAUAUUCAAGACACCUAGCUUGCUUAAAAGAUACGCAUGCUAUCUCUGACAUAAGGGUUUUGUGAAGAUAUCUACUGGCUGCUCUUCUAUCCCAAUUCAUUGUGUCUCAAUCACUCCUUGUUGGAUUUUCUCUCGAGUGAAAUAGCAAUCCACUUCUAUAUGCUUUGUCCUCUCAUGAACAAUGGGAUUUGACGCAAGUUCGAGAGCUGCAUCAUUGUCACAGAAUAAUUUAGUAGGUCCUCUAAUUCGUAUCCCAAGGUCUUGAAGUAAGCCUCGCAACCAAACUAUUUCACAUAUGAUCUUUGCCAUGGCUCAAUAUUCUGCUUCUGCUAAAGACAAAGAGACAAUUGGUUACUUCUUCUUCUUCUUCUUCUUUUUGUGACCUAGGAACCUCGUACAGCCGGCAGCUGGCGAGUAAACCCGGGUGGUUGGUUGCUUCUUUGUCUUCCACGAAAGUAAGGAAUCCCCCAAUUUAAUAAAGAAACCGGUAAUAGACCUUCUGCUAAUCGGACAGUUCGCAUAAUCCACAUCACAAUAAGCAAUCAUGCUCAUAUCACACUUUCUGGAAAGGAGGAUCCCAAGUCCAGGACACUUCUUCAAAUAUUUCACUAUCUUCAGUGCCGUAUUCAUAUAAGACUGUUGUGGCUUGUGCAUGAAUUGAUUGAGCGUUUGCACUGCAUAACUUAUAAAUGGUCUGGUCAUAGUCAGAUAUAUGAGUAUCCCAACGAGCUUCUGAUAUCCCAAAGGAUCUCUGAGUACGGGAUCAUCUUCUUGAGAUACUCCAGCAUCAUAAUCUGUUGUAGUUAAUUUGACAUUCUGCUCAAUUGGGAUAGCAGCUGGCUUGCAUCUUGAUAAACCUGUUUCUGAUAUGAUUUCCAAGGUAAAUUUUCUUUGGCUGAGAGAAAUCCCCUGGUCUGAUCAUGCAAUCUCAAUUCCAAGGAAAUAUUUGGGUGAACCCAAAUCCUUUAUAUGAAAGGUAGAAUGCAAAUAUUCCUUGAAGUUUUUGACAACUACUUCAUCAUUGCCCAUAAUAAAUAUAUCGUCUACAUAUAUCAUCAAAUAGAUAGACGACGUACCUUUUGUCCAUGUAAAAACAACAUAGUCAUAUCUAGAUUGAUGAAAACUAGCAGCAAUCAAAGAGUCAGCAAACUUGGCGUACCACUGUCUGGAAGCUUGUUUAAGGCCAUACAGGGAUUUGCGGAGACAACAUACUAUAUUCUCCCCCUGUCUCCGUAAACCCUAUGAUAUGUCCAUGUAAAUUUCUUCAUUUAAGUCUCCAUGCAGAAAAGCAUUGUGGACAUCCAUCUAGUGUAAGGGCCAGUCCUGAAAUACCGCUACUGAAAGAAAAGAACAAACUGUAACAUCUUUGGCCACAGGAGAAAAGGUUUCGUGAUAGUCAAAACCCUCUCGCUGCAUGAAACCCUUUGCAACCAAUCGCGCUUUGUAUCUUUCUACCGAUCCAUCUGCUCGAUACUUAAUCUUGUAUACCAAUUUGUAGCCAAUUGCCUUCCGAUGAGGCGAUAAUGAAACAAUUUCUCAUGUCUAGUUAUCCAUUAAAGCUUGGAGUUUUGCCUCCAUUGCUUUUUGCCAUCGCGGAUUAGUGCAUGCUUCAUUAUAGGUAGAUGGUUCUUGCUCUUCAGAUAUGCGAGUGAUGCAACAUCUAUGUUCUGGAGAUAAUUGAUCAAAAGAAACAUAGGAAGAAAUUGGAAAUCGAGUACCUGGUGAGUUCCAUGCACUACAUAUGUAAUCCUGAGUCCAAGUCAGUGGACGCGUAGCUCGUCCAAAAUGUUGCGAUUGAUCAUUCUUUGGAGGUGAGUGGUCUUCUUGAGUCUCUAACUGAGAUAAGUCAUUUGUAUCCCCAUCAUUAGAGUCUUGAUCUAUCACUUCCAUACGAGGAGUCACUUCCGCAGUGGACUUAAAUGCCAAGGAAUUACGUGUGUUUUCUAAGGAAGGAAAGAGAACAUAUUCCGGAUAGCUGAAGACUUCCUCAGUAUGAGAAGUAGAAGAAUGCCCCUUAUCCACGGUUGGUUCUUGUGUAGCAAAUGGGAAAAUAUUUUCCUGGAACACGACAUCUCUACUAACAAAAAACUCUUCUGUGAAUGGAUCAAAUACCCGAUAUCCUUUUUGAAGAGUAGGAUAUCCCAUGAAUAUGCAGCGGCGAGCAUGAGGACCCAUCUUAUCUCUAGGUCCUACUAUUGUGGCGUAGCAUAAACAUCCAAAAACGCUCAAAUGGCUCAACUCUGGUUUCUUGCCAAAAAGUAAUUCAAAGGGAGUUCGUCCAUUAAGUACCUUAGUUGGCGUGCAGUUGAUCAAGUAAGCUGUAGUCAAUACACAAUCGCCCCAAAAUUUGUCUGGAAUGGAAGCUUGAAAUUUCAAGGCCCGUGCAACUUCUAAUAGGUGGCGAUGCUUCCGUUCCACCACUCCAUUCUGUUGUGGUGAAUAAGUACAUGAACUUUCAUGUAAUAUCCCUUGAGAAGAGAACAGUGCAGCACAAUCAUGAUUAAAAAACUCUCGUCCAUUGUCUGUCCGGAUUCGUUGCACAGAUUUUCUAAAUUGAGUCUUUGACAGAGAAAGAAAGGUUUUCAAGUUCGAUGAAACUUGACUCUUAAAUUGCAUGAGCAAAAUCCAUGUAGAUCUAGAAUAGGGGUGUGCAAAAGAACUAUGACCCACCCGGACCGCCUGGAACCGGACUGGAAUCGCCCGGAACCGGUGGUUCUUAAGGGAACCAGUCCAGUUUCCGGUUCCAAUCAAUUCCAAUUUAUAGGAACCGGUGGGUACUGGUCCGAUUCCCGGUUCCAUGGGCGGAUCUGCCCGCCUGCCCACCCAGACCGAACCGGUUAUGGACCAUUCUCUUUUAAUUCCCUCGAACAGCAUAUCGCCAAGCCAUCCUCCACACCUUUUCUUCAUUUUUCCUCCUGGCAUAGUUGUUUAUUCUCUCUGAUACUUCUAUCAAAAAUAUUAUCCCGUGGAGCCGACAACGCAAUCUUUCUUAAUUAGCAAAAAGAAACGGCACAUCUUUCUCUAAAGCCUUCUGGUAUUUGAAGUAGGCUCUCUCUUUCUCUCCUGCAAAUCACUGAAUCACUCGCUCUUUUCUAGCUCAACUUUGUAAACAUACACACGCGCACGCGUGCACAUUCAGAGGUUACAAAACGAAAACGAAGCUUCUUGUGUGGUUGUUUUUCAUAGUGUCUGCUCAAACCAUUUUGAUCUUGGCUGUUGAAUGCUUCUCCGAGCCAUCCAACUCUACUGAAAAUACACAUGGACCAAAAGUUCCAGGUAGUUUAUCUUUCCUCUUCAUUCUUCGUUGCCACUCAUUAGUGUCCUAUAAAUUGUCGGAAGCUACCUUUACUUCAAUGGAAAAUGCUGCAGCAAGUUAUGCAGGUUUGAACAAGACCAGUAAAUCUUCGAAAAACGCUGUGGAAGGUUGGUGAAUUCCGUUAUGAGAAAAGGUUCAAAAGGGAAAGGAUAUGUUGGUGGUUGGUACGGAAGGGGCGCGAAGGUCGCAACAGCCGUCACCGCCGCGCUAGUACUCGAGGAGAAUAAAGCUACCAUGGUCGAGAGAGCCAUAAUAAGUAAAUGUGGGGAGGGCAAAAAGGGCAAGAUGCGAAGGUUGGACUAGUUCUAUGGAUCCACCUGGGAACAGGACCGGACCGGCGGUCCAGUUCCCGAGUGGAUCCAUGCAACUAGAGGGCGGUUUCCAGUUCCAAUUUUUCGGAACCGGUUCUUAGUGAACGAUUCUCGGUUCUAGGUCGAGAACCGCCCACUCGGACCACGCACACCCCUAAUCUAGAAUGAUCGUCCACAACUGUGAGGAAGAAUCAAGACCCAUCAUCAUUUGGAGUAUGAUAUGGUCCCCACAUAUCAAUAUGAAGUAAUGAGAAAAUACUGUUUGCACGAUUUUUGCUUAUUGGAAAGGGAACACGAGAUUGCUUUGCAAGUGGACAAAUAUGACAUUGAGGAUAAGGAAAUGAAGAACUAUGGCCCAUUCUGGAAUGCAAAAGACAAUUUUCAUCAUUGGUAGUCAAAUUACACAAUGAUUUCUUAUUACAAGGAAUAUUGGAAAAACUAAGUUCCUUGGAUGAACUAUUCCAAAAAGAUAAACCUUCAGAGAUGUUACCCUAGCCCAUCAGUUUGCCAGUUGAACGGGCUUGAAAGAGACAGGUAUCAGCAUUGAAAAGAACACGACAUGAAUUUUCCUCAUAGGCUCUAGACACAGAAAUAAGAUUAAAUUGAAAACCCAGGACAUAAAGAACAUUCGUGAGGAUAAUCUCAGGGCUAAGAUUGAUUGUUCCUGUUAUGGUGACAUGGGUAAUGUUUCCAUUUGGCAAGUGGACAACAAUGGGAUUAUCCAAUUUUUCAUGAAUAACGGAAAACAGACUUUUAUCACAUGCAAUAUGAUCGCUGGCUCCUAAAUCAACAAUCCAAGCAUUUCUCGAUAUUGCAUUUAUCAAGUUAUGAGAAAUACCUAUGAAACUGCUUCCUUUGUUGAAAGUCUCCAACUUUUGUAGGGCCUGCAGCAAUUGUUGAUAUUGUCCAUAAUUGAUGGGUUGAUUUACAUCUCCUGACCCGGUAAUUUGAUAAGCAGCUACUGCUGAAGUUUCUUUUCCUCUCUUUUUCUUUUUCUCUAGGUCGACCGUGUAAUUUCCAGCAAUUUUCAAUUGUGUGGUGGGGCCGCUUGCAAAAUUCACAGUAGAAUUUCCCUAUAUUUCUUGAAUUAUGCCCAUAAUUCUUUGAAAAAUAACCACCGUUGGAUCCUUUUGAUGCGGAGCCAUCUCUGCCGUUCAAGGUCUGAAGAUCACGAGUGCUCUUAGAGCCGUCAGAUGAUUGUGAACAAUCUGGCCGUUGAACCCACAGCCCUUAAAAGCCUGAUCCGCUGGAAACCCUAGCGCGACACGUCUUUCCUCUUUGUCUAGGGUUUUCGGCCCUCUUUCUCCUCUUGCCGCCAAUGCUAUACUCCCGGCUCCCUUUGUCUCCGACGAGGUAAGGCGUUGGCUUUCUUCCUACACCACCAACUGAAAGAUCCGGCCAAGAGAAGGUGCAGGCUCCAUUGCUAAGAUCUACGACCUGAAAUUGAGGUAAGAAUCGUUCAAAAUUAAGAAAAACCGAGUGCCCUUUUCUCGGUCUUUCAUGGCUUUAUAUUGUCGAAGCGUCACCUCCGAUCCUUCUAACUUCUCCUCGGCCACUUCCAGCUCGUUCCACAAAGCUGAAAGCUUGUUGAAGCAUGCCAUUAUGGUCAUGUUUCCUUGCUUCAGCUCUGUGAGGGCUUGGUGCAGCAAGAAGAUUUUCGUCCAGUCUAACUUCAUGUACAUUUCUUUGAUGCUUUCCCAAAUGGUUUUCGAGUCUUCUAUAGGGGGUAGACCAGCUGCAAUCCUGGGGCUUAUAUAGUUUCCUGCCCAAGUUCUCACUAACUGGUUAUAUUUUUUCCACUGCCUUGCCAAUUUUUCGUCGAUUGGAAUGGGGAUGCUUCCGUCGAUGAAGCUGUCCUUGUCCUUUGUGACAAGGGCUCGACGGAAAUCCCUCGCCCAGUUCGAGUAAUUUUUUGGUCCCAUGAGAAGGUGGCUGAUGAGCCGCAAUUUCGGUCCAUUGGCAGUGGAGAUGUACAGCGUGUCGCUAAGUUCUAGGUGACUCAUGGCAGCCGUGAAGGGGAACGGCAGGAAACUGGGUGGAACUCCCGGGUAGGGAUUUGUAGUUUGGCCCGGAUGUGACCCACCCGACACUCCUGUGUUCGAUUCGCCUGGCCCAUUGGGGUCUGUACCUACAUAAGACAACCCGGAUCCUUCUGUUGCGUCCGCCCCACUUAUGGCUGGUGGGCCGUCAUCUCUCCGCAUCUGGGCUCCUGAAAAAGAAAAACUCGAGUUGGGCCCAUAAUACAUGGGCAUCAGCACCCACUGGUAUGGAAAACCCGAAGCGGGUUGCCCCAGAUUGGGCUGCCAUUGAAUUAAUGGCCUUGUAAUUGGCUAAUUUUGGACUCCGCCGGCUUUAUUCCGCAUGAGGUCAUGCACCUCCGAGGUAGGUAUUUCUGCAGGAAUCUGCUCAUCAGCCAUGUUGGUGGUAAGAUUCCUUUCCUUCCUUCGCUUGUUUAUAGAAAAAUUCAAGUGACUGAUUCCUGCGCCGAAGUGCUAACGCUGUUUUGCAGGUUAGCUUGUUUUUCUGGAUAGGCAAUCAAAGAGAUAGAGAGCGGAAACGAAAUACAGAAGCACAGCUGUGCUUUGAUACCAUGAAAGAGGAUGAAGGCAAGGAAGAAAGAGAGGAAAAACUUGGGGAAAUUUUCUAUAUUUCUGUAUAUUCAUCUCAAUGUACAAGGGUGAUAUUAUAGUACAAGUCAUGUACAAGAAAAGGCAACUAAAUAAUCUAUGAAUCAGAUCUGAUAUCAAUUGAUCCUAGAUAAUAUCUAGAAGAUAUUGCGUAUCUUCCAACAAUACUCAUAACUGAAAUAACUUUUGAGUCCAUCCGAGUGUCUCAUGCCAAUCGCUUAUUGAUUCAUCCGUGGUCUCAUGUAGAUGUGGCAAGAUCGAUGGUGGACCCAUAUUUUAACUAGUAAUUAAUCUCGUCGGUGAUAUAUGAGUUACCUAAUAUUUGAAAUAUAGGAAAGAAUGAGUCUAAUAAACCAAAAAACCAAUUAAUGAUAGGUUUAUGAUGGGUUAAGAGAGAACCCGCUUUCAACCCAUUUAAUCAAAGAGUCAUGGGGAGGCAUCUUGCUCUCACACUCUCUAAUGCAACAUUAUAGAAAGCAAGCUGUAUUAACUUCUUCAAUUAAAAGUACCACCAAGACAUGCAUGCAAAUUGGGAAAUCAGAUAUAAAUUACACUGGUUUUUUAAUAAUCUAAAUUUUUUAGAAUAAAUUGUGGAACGUUCAAUUAUAGGAAUUAAAAAAAUAAAGACAAAAGGAAGACAAUGACUUGUUGAAGUUAUUUAAAUAAAUAAAUAAAAAGUGUGUGUAAAAAGCUUCUUUGAAUUAUAUUACAAUGACUUAUCAAAACACCAUCGUCUUAGCUUGGGUCCUCUAUUCUAGGACUAUAAGUCCUUCGGAUCUGUAUUUAUGAUAACAAGAAAAACCACAAAAGUGGGUUUUGAUUUCUGUUUUGUAUUUAUUAUAUUUUAAAGCCCUUGCCUCUCACAUGCUCAGUUUGAAUCGUAGAUAUGUUACGCUAAAUUAAUCCAAACUUGCUUGCUGCUCACACCAUAAGCGUACUCGUUUUACUCGAUGUAACGAGUCGAGGUGGACCGAUGUAUUCGUGUAGUCUCGUGAGGGCGCACUCAAGAGCACGGCCCGUGAUGACCGUUCCAUCCUGAGGAACGAGAGAAUGGUGCACCGGAGAGAAACCAGUGGAGUGCCAAAAAAGCUUUGCCUGACAGCGCCAUUCAAGUCACGCGCGAUUCGGGUCCUACAUUCCCUCUAGCCUAGGUUGCAACGAAUUAGUACCAACCCAUGGGCAUGAGAUCCUUUCCUCUAUUAGUUACAGGAUGGAAAUUACACGAUGCGAGAUACGGACGGAUGUAUACCGUCAAUUUUUGAAAAAGUGCGUGACUGAAACUCGGCAUUACUUUAAUAAUUUAUCAGAAUGAUGUUAUUAUAGGUUUAUUCUAAUUACAUUGUAAAUGAGAAAGAACUUAUGCAAUCCUUCACAUUACAUGAUCGCGUAAAAAUCUCACAUUUAAUAAAUAAUUUCACUGUACUUAUGUCUGCUAAAGAGACAAAAUCCACAUUUUGACAUUUUCAAACCGCUUUCGCAUUGUCGUCACAAGUCACUAACUCGACACAACCUCAUAAUUCUCUUGUUGUCGACCAAGCUAUCGUACCGCCAAGCCAUCAUUGUUACUUUAAGUUCAUGCCAUUGGCAAACCUUUUCAUGUUAAUUCCCUUAACUUGCUUUGAUCAUUGGCAAAUCCAUUUUUGUAUUUGAGAAGGGGGCAACCUAAUUCAUGGAAUUACCUUUAGAGUAAAAUUGAAUCUAAUGCGAUUCGGCGCGAGUUCUUUUCGUUUAUCUUUUGAUGACAGUUUGGCUAUUCCUUUCAAAGUAGUAGAUGUGGAAAAUCAAUUCAUUUUAGGAAAUGGUGAGCUGACAUUGGUGAGCUGACAGUACCGUUAGUCCUUCAAACGAAACGGUGGCUUAUCCGUCUUCAAUUCUCCAUCUUGAAUGAUAUGAGCAUAUCCAUUUCUUGAAAUAGAAUUAAUGCUCUCUCAACAUCUAAUCUAAAUAUAGUACUGUUAGGCUAGCAAUGCUAUUUUUGUCCAAUGUUCUCGAGAAAAUAUUAGGUGGUCCCACUCAACCACAUUAGUAUAGUCUAGCUGCACUCAUCGAGCGACGGGUGAAGCCAUGUCAGAGGGUAAGUCCCACUGAGAUAGAUCUGAAAAUCGUCUCUAAUAUUUCAGACCACGUAAUAUGUUCUCAUGGCUUGGUGGUGAUCAAGCUUGGUUGACAGCAAGAGAGAGUCGACGGUGGCCUAAUCAGUGACAGCAAUGCAGAGAGAUUUGACAAUGUCCGAAGUGGCGACAACAGCGAUGAAUAUAUCACGACUUAUUAACAUGCAAAAAUAUAGCUUUCUCUUGAUUUUCUGUUAAAUACCAAAGUAACCACACAUUUAAUUAAUAGAUGAGAGAUUUUCACAGAAUCUUGUAAUUUGAAAGGUCCUCCACAUGUAUGCAAGUUUUUCUUAUUUAUAAUAUAGAUGGCAUAAACCUAUGAUAACAUCAUUCUUAUAUGUUAUUAAAGUAACGCCUAAUUUUUGUCUCGCACUUCGGGAAAGUGACAGUAUAUAUCCAUCCGUAUCCCGCAUGGUGUAAUUUCAUUCCCUAUAUUAAUAGCAAAGGAAGUUCAUGCUCACAAGUUAGUAUUGAUUUGUUGUAACCUAGGUUAGAGGGAAAUGCACAAACAUGUUUGCCAUUUUUUUUUCUUUUUACUUUCACGUUUGUUAAAGAUAAUUAUGAUAUAUAUCUUAAUUCCUCAUAUCACUUAAGGUUGCGUAUCUAUAUCCAUUAAUUAUGCAUGCGAUUGCUUGAUUAGAAUUGAUAUUUAUCUUUAAAAGCCAAUACUAAUGUACUAUUCAUUAUAAUACACAGGAAUAUAUAAAUUACAUAGAAUUUUGCAAUUCUCUCUUCAACAUCGUUUAUCAUGAUGUCAAAAUUAAGUGAUUUUGAGAAAGUUUUGAUUGCAUUGGGGACAUGACAUUGUACAUCUGGAGCUCCAUUGCUUCUUAUGUCAUUUUCUUUUUCAAUGACAACUAAUAUCCUCCUUUUAAUGUCUAUCUUUAAUAUAAUUUAUGUCAUUUGAUAGUUAUGUCAGUAGUCUAUCAUGCAGUCACAUCAUUCUCAAUUCUCUCUUCAAUAUUAUUAUAAUUAACGUUUAUUCUCAAUGUAAUUUGCGUCAUUUGAUAGUUAUGUUAGUAGUCUAUCAUGCAGUCACAUCAUUUUCAAUUCUCUCUUCAAUAUUAUUAUAAUUAAUGUCUAUCCUUAAUAUAAUUUACGUCAUUUGAUGGUCAUGGCCACGUGAUCACAUCAUCCUCCUCUAUUGUUCAUGCACGGGAGAAAAUAUUCAAUAGUAUGAGCGCGCCACAUCAUCUGCUGACAUGGUACGCAUUUACCACUCAGAUAUCAACACAUGUUUGUGAGUGGGACCCGUUCAAAAUUUGAAAGGCUGACUCUCGGCUAGUGGCUCGGCAUGGCUGGCAAAAGAAAGGACAAGUCAAUGGGUAGUAAAUGCGCAACCCUCCCGCUUAAAAUUUCUCUCUCCUCACUUGAAUUUUAUGGAUUUUGUCUUUCUCUCUCUCCUCGUGGAAGAACAACACCCAAAAGCCUCGCCUGUCAUCUACCUCUGGCACGUCGCCUCCUCCAAGAGCCUCACCAGUCAUAACCGGUUCCCGACCCCCUUUGCCUUCGACUGUUUCCAACACGGAGAUCGAGCAUAAGCUUCCUCGGAAACUUUUGGGCCUCCGUCCGAUUGCCUCCCUCCAACGAACUCAUCAUCAACUCCGACUCUGAGUCGCUGCCGCCGCCGCCGCCGCUUCCACCGACGACAAUGGCAUCCUCCAUCUCUAGCAUCUGCUUGUCCUCCCCCUCCCUCAAGCCAAAGACGUUGUCGGCCUUCAGCAAGAGGGAGGUGGCCUCGGUCUUGUUCCCGAGCGGCGCCAAGCUCCCCACCGUCAACCGGGUGAUGUCCCUGUCGCUGGCCCGAUCGGUCACGAGGGAGAUCUCGGCGAACCUGGGCAAGGUUGACGACGCGGCAAAGAAGGAGAGGCGCGAGCUAGAGGGUUGGAGAAGGAUUCCCGCUUGUUGUGGACAAGGUACGUGGACUAGCUACACCAGCACCAGAGCUAGGGCUUUUCCUUGGACGUGAGCCGAAUCGAGUUCAUGGACGAGUUCGUAGAGGAGAUGGAGCCUCGAUUCCAAGCCGCGUUCAAGGCAAUGGAUGUGACAACCUGAAUUUUCAGAUUUCGAUUUCGAUUAAAUAAAUCGGGCCUUUCAUUGACGCGCUUAUAGUGUUAUUCUCUGAGCUGAUCACUCAAGAGAUAACUAGGCUAUAUGGGGAAGCAAUCAAGAAAUCUAAAUGUAAGAGACUUGAGAAUUCGACUAGGAAUUGACUGCUCGACCGUGUUGAUCUGCAAGGGUCAUUGCGGUACUAUCAGAAAUCGAUCAGAAACCAGAGAUAGAUCGAUUCGAUUAAGAUAUGUCAUCAGAGUGUGAGUGAUUCCACUGGAUCGCAAAAUACUCGUUGAUCGGCACUAGAUCGAUUUUUCUAUCGUUUUGGUACCCGGUGCCCGUAUUUGAAAUAUCGAGAUUUUCACGACAAUCGGGAGUCGCUAUUGUAUCGAAUGGGUUCAUUGUGGCUCAAAGAAAAUUAACCACGAGUAGAGUUUUUCUUCAAUGAAAUUGGACGUUGAUUUGAGAAAAUUCGUGGAGAAAUUGAGAAAAUUCGGAGCUUAGACUAAUGGCUGAAAUUGUUGGCUUCAAAGUUGGUUUAAUGGUGGAAUUUACUUAUUAGAAAGUAAGUGGGGACAUUUGGAUAUUCAUGAGGGCUUUAGGGGGGACCAACAAUUAAUGGAAUGGGUGAGAUUUGUUGACUUUGCCUCCACCUUCAGCAGCUUCUCGAUCACGCAUUCUCCAUUCCCAUCUCCUUCGCUGCUUUCCUUCUCAGCCACUUCUGCUUUUCAUUUUUUUCAUUCGACGAAGUUCGGUCUCCCUCAAAUUCUCUCUCUCUCUCUCUCUCCGUGUAUUUCCCUCACGCCAGCAUCCCCAUCCCACCGUAAACCCCCAUUUCUUUCUCCACCUCACGCCCACGCAUCCGAGUCUCCAUCCUCCUCAGUCAACUCCAGCGCAUCUUGAAGACCAUCGACUUCUCCAUCGAGUUUUGUCGGCCACAGAAUCCAUCCACCACUGCAGCAACCGAUCAGCACUUCGGCCUCAAGAAGUUGACUCCGUUCCUCUCACCCGUGGCCACGUCUCGCCUCAAAUCGAAGACCAACCCUGCUCCACUGCUGAGUCUUCAUUUCCUUCGGUCUUCACGUCUGCCGCUUCAUUGGUUCCUUCGCUGUUGGUGUCUCCAUCUUACUGCGUGAGACCGACCGAAGCAGCACACGCCCGCGCAGCAACUCCACGCGGCCAACGUUCAGCUGUUCCUCGAGUCUUCCGUGUGUGCAGCCAACCGAAGCUUUUUCCGCUCGCCGAAGCAAGAUGCCAGCGAGCCGUUUCUCCAUCCAGCUCGGCCCAGAAACAGUCCACGAAAAUUUCAGCUCCUUCUUGGGUUCUUGUUCGGCCCAGCUCCUCCAACACAAGCCCAUCAGCCCACACGAAUCAAAAGCUAGUCCAUUUUCUGCCGCAGCCCAUCCACGAAGACAGCCCAAGUGAAAUUUAGAUUAUUUCAGCCCAAGAAAAAUUGCAGCAGCCCAAGUCUUUGGCCCAUCAACUCCAGCAGCCCACUUGAAGCCCAAGAAGCAGGCCCAAGCCCAAGUCUAAGCCCAGAAAUUUCUGUGGGCUUGCAAGAUUUUGGGCCCAGUCCGAGUAUCCACCGACGCCGCCGAAAAGUUGGAUUUCGGCCGCCGUCGCGGUGAUCCAGUCUCCACUUUUAAUCAAGUGAGUUUUUCUCACUUAUCCCUUAUUAGUCAGUUAAUUAUGCUUAUGUGUUGAUUAAAUUUAAUUAAGUGCAAUUAGGUGGAUAGAUUAGAUUAGAGUAAUCAAAUUAGAGACUUAUCAAUGCAUGUUAGGCAUAUGGUUAGUGUAAUUAGCAAGGAAAUAUGUCCUAGUAUUUAUUGAACGAGUUUCUGUAAUUUUCCGUGCUCGUAUCGACUUCCAAUCAUGCAUUAUGGGCCUAAGUUGGAUUUAUUGCAUUUAUUUAUUAUUUUCGUAAUUAUUUUCCGGAAAUUAGGCUGGAAUAGCCGAUGACUAGAAUUUUGUGCUGAUUUCGGUGGUGCUCUCUGUUUAUUUAAUUGAGUAUCGGUUUGUGAAAAUUGAGUGUGAUUGGUGGUUAUGGGGAUUUAUCUCAAAAUUGGAAAAUGUCGUUAUUUGAAGGGAAAAUAACCGUGUGAGGUUGUGAGUUUAAUAGAUAAUUGCCAGGUGGGGCCGUGAUGCCACCAAGUCGAGAAAAUUGCCAGGUUAGGCUGUGAUGCCAUCAAGUCAAGAAAAUUGCCAAGUGGGGCCGUGAUGCCACCAAGUCGAGAAAAUUGCCAGGUGAGGCCGUGAUGCCGCUAAGUCUAAAAUUGCCAAGUGGGACCGUGAUACCACUAAAGUCUAAACUUGCCAAGUGGGGUCGUGAUUCCACUAAUUAAAAAUUAUGCCUGUAGGGCCGUGAUUCAAAAUCGAGAAUGAAUAAUCGAAACGACCGGAAAUGGUCUUGUUGACAUGUAAUCGACCGAGUCAAUUGAUUGAUGACUCGAUCUGAUUGAUUGGAUGCUAUGAUUGUCAGUAUUUAUUAUUUGAAUUGACUUGCAGGAAGGAAACUGAGGCCAAGGUAAGCCCUCUGACCCGUGAUGUGCUUAGGCAACCCUUAGGACAUAUUUUAUUACUAAUCGGGUCUUAGGGAGCAAAACUUGCUGAGACAUUGUCUCACUGGUUAUUGAAUAACCAUUUUCAGGUCCUUAGACAAUGUUCAUGGAGGACUUGAAGUCCUGGAGUUUGGGGAAGCGAAGGAAGCAGAAUCGGCAAAUCUGUUUGACUCGCUAGUCAUAGGACAGUACCUUUUUGAUUAAGCCGAUAAUUUUGUAAGCGACCUGAUGAUGUAAAUAAACUUAUGUGUUUAUAAAAAGUUGGUUUUGGUUUGAAAAAUUUAUGGCCAUGUUGUAAAAUAUUGCGUUGCAAAUAUAUAAUAGAGAAGAAAUUGAGAAGAGAAAGUAAGUGAACACUAGAGAUGGUAGAGAAAGCCAGAUAUUUCACUAUAUUAUGAUUGUUGUUCUAAUAGUUGUUGUGUUAUUAUACAUCAAAACUUAAACUCCUAUUUAUAGGAGAACAAGAAUGUACUUAUCAUUAAUAUCAAUGUAUCGAAUGAUACAUGUACAGGAUAAGGGAGACGAACGUUCAUUGUAUAGGGAGAUGUACUUAGAACAUUUUAUACAAAUGUACCAUAAUAAGUACAUUGGAUAAGAUGAAUAUAAUGAAUAUGCAUUCAUGUAUUAUAUUCAUUCAUGUAUUUCAUAACACUCUCCCUUGAAUAUUCAUUGUAUUCAUUAUGAAUGUGUAUCGAAUGAUACUGCCUCAUUAAAAACCUUAAGCAGGAAAAACCCAGUGGGAUAAAAACCAGACAAAAGGGAAAAAGAGUGCAGAGCACAAAAGUUAUGAUCUCUCCCUUUUAUGGAUGCAUUAAUUGUCUCGUUAAAAACUUUAAGUAGGAAAAACCCUAUGGGAAAAAACCGGACAUAAAGAAAAAAAAGAGUGCAAUGCAUAUAUGGCCACUCCCGAGGCUAAUCAUUAUUGCAUCUUGUGAACUAGCCGCAUAUCAAUGCUGCAAUGCAUAAUUCAUAAUAUCUCCCCUUCAAUAGAGCCAUAUAGCCACUUCUGGCGCUAAUCAAUCUUACAUUUUAUGAACUUGCCUCAUACCAAUGCCAUUUACUAAUCUCAAAAGUUGAUGUUGGCAAUGAUUUGGUAAAAAAAUAUGCAAGAUUAUUUAUGGAUCGAAUCUGUUUAACAUCAAUUUGUCGACUUUCUUGGAGUUCAUGAGUAUAGAAAAAUUUCGGCGAGAUAUGCUUGGUCCUAUCACCUUUGAUAUAUCAUCCCCUGACUUGUGCAACACAAGCAGCAUUAUCUUCAUAAAUUAUAGUGGGAAAAUUUGUAACCAGUAUUAAGCAACAAGAAUUAUGAAUGUGUGUUAUAACGGAUCUUAACCAAACACACUCUCUUCCAGUUUCAUAUAAAGCAAUAAUCUCAGAGUGGUUAGAAGAUGUAGCUACUAGCGAUUGCUUCGUAGAACGCUAAGAAAUAGCAGUGUCGUUAUAACAAAAUAAAUACCCGGUUUGAGAGUGAGCCUUAUGUGGAUCGGAUCUAUAUCCAGCAUCGGCAUAUCCAACUAAACCAGAGUUAGUGGAAUCCUUGGAAUAAUAUAAUCCCAAAUCUAUGGUUCCUCGGAGAUAACGGAAAAUAUGUUUAACUCCAUUCCAAUGUCUCCGAGUUGGCUCAGAACUAAAACGUGCCAAUAAAUUUACCGCAAAAGCAAUAUCUAGUCUCGUACACUAUGUCAAGUACAUCAAAGCCCCAAUUACAUUGAGAUAUGGUACUUCAUGACCAAAUAUCUCUUCAUCAGAUUCUCUAUGAAGAAAUGGGUCCUUUUGGGGAUCUAAAGACAUUACAACCAUCGGGGUGCUCAAUGGGUGAGCUUUGUCCAUGUUGAAACAUUUAAGCAAUCUUUCAACAUAUGCUGAUUGAUGGACGAUUAUUCCAUUUGCUUUAUGCUUAAGCUCUAGACCAAGACAAAGUUUGGUUUUACCCAAAUCUUUAACUUCAAACUCCCUUUUUCAAAUAUUCAGUAGUUUCAGCUAACUCUUCUGGAGUUUCAAUUAAAUUUAUAUCGUCGACAUAAACUGCUACAAUAGCAAAUCCGGUUUCUGAUUUCUUAAUAAACACGCAUGGGUAGAUAGGAUCAUUCUUGUACCUUUCCUUAAUUAGGUACUCACUUAGGCGUUGAUACCACAUGCGACCGAAUUGCUUUAACCCGUACAAGGAUCUUUGCAAUUUUAUUGAGAAUAAAUUGCGGGGAGUGCAUGCUUCAGGCAUUUUGAAUCCCUCAGGAAUUUGCAUAUAAAUAUCAAAGUCUAAUGAGCCAUAUAGAUAUGCCGUCACAACGUCCAUAAGACGCAUUUCCAAUCUUUCAAAGAUUGCUAGGCUAAUGAGAAAACUAAAUGUAAUCAUAUCCAUCACAGGUGAAUAUGUCUCAUUAUAAUCAAUUCCAGGUCUCUAGGAGAAUCCUUGGGCAACGAGUCGGGCUUUAUACCUGAUAAUCUCGUUUUUCUCAUUUUGUUUUCGGAUAAUACCCAUUUAUAUCCAACGGGUUUUAUCGGGGAUACGAGUUACAGGUCCAAAAACCUCUCGUUUAGUUAGGGAAGCUAAUUCAGCUUUAAUUGCUUCCUCUCACUUAGGUCAAUCUUGCCUUUGACGACAUUCAAUAAUAGAUUGCGGCUCACAAUCAUCAUCUAUAAUUUUAUGAGCAACUGAGAAUACAAAAGCAUCAUCAAUGAUGAUUUCAUUUCGAUCCCAAAUUUCAUUACAAUAUGUAAUGGAAUUUUCGGUAUUCCCGGGGCUAGUGUUUCUUUCAUGGAUUUGAGCCUCUUCAGAGGCAAUAAGCUCUUUAGGAGCAAGCACAACGUCAGGCUCUUCUGGAGCGGAUUCAUGAUUCUUUCCCCUUCAUUUUCGAGGAAUAAUAUCUUUUGAUCCUAUUGGUAUACCACACUUCAAGUGCGCAAGUAAACGUGCAAAGGUGACAUUGCGCGUAGAUAAUAGGCAAACAUGGGACCAUCUACAGGAUGCAUCCACUAAUACCAUAAAAUAUCGAAAUGGUCCACUUGGUGGUUGUAUUGGUCCACAAAUAUCACCCUGAAUUCUUUGCAAGAAUAAAGGAGAUUCAAAAUUAACCUUUGUUAUAGAAGGUUUAAUAAUGAGCUUUCCUUGUGAGCAAGCCUCACAAUUAUAAUCUUUGGACAACAAUACAUUUAUAUCCUUUAAAGGGUGCCCUUUUGUAUUUUGAAUUAUCCUACGCAUCAUUGAAGCGCCAUGAUGACCAAAGCGAUCAUGCCACAAUCCAAACUGAUCAGGGCUUACCAAUCUCCAGGAUGUGGUGGCGUAGGUUUCAACAGCCUUAAUCAUGACAAAAUACAAACCCAUAGAAGAAGCUUCUAGCUUCUCAUGGAUGGUCUUCAGGCCCAUCUUAUAAGAGGAAAUGCCAAUAUAUUCCUUAUCUUGCUCAUAAAUAGUCUCAAUAUGGUACCCAUUACGGCGUACAUCUUUGAAACUGAGUAGAUUUCUUUUUGAUCGAAUGCUUAGAAACGUAUUCUCAAUAUGCAGGAUUGUGCCAUUUGGCAAAAUAUUUGUAGCAUUCCCAAAACCAUCAAUAAUCGGAACAGGACCUGAUAUUGUAUGGAUUUGUGCCUUACGCAAUGUCAUACUCGAGAAAAAGUGUCUACUACAAAAUAUAGUAUGUAUUGUUGCACUAUCAAGCAAACAAACAUCUUCUUUUUUCCCGGUAUUUUUCAUUUGCAUUUAUAUUAACAACUUCAGGUGUCAAGUAUCAUAAGAGUUGCAUAUUAGUUAUAUAGUUGAAUAAAAUUUCAAAAAUAAAUAUUAUAUAAGGUUCAUAAGCAUUUCAUAAAAAACAAUAAAAAGUAAUACAUUUAAAGCGAAACAACAUAAAAUUCGAAAUUCAAAUUAUCAUCAACCAAUCUGAUUCAUCAAAGUAAUCAAAGGUCCUCAAAGAAAUCAGAGACAUCCAAUGAUGCAUUUGCUACUUCAGGAGCAAGAGGAGUCCCACCAACGGAUAUAUUGUUGGCAUCAACAGUGGUUAUGGCAGUAGGAUUGAUUUCAAUGGCAUGAGAUUCACCACACUUGCCCGUAUUCUUUAAAGAUGUCUGGUAUAGGUCAACAAAAUGUUUUGGCAUACGACAGGUACGUGACUAGUGCCCAGUCAUGCCACAGCGAUUACAAAUACUUUCAUUAAUCACCUUCUUUGGCUUCUUUUCUUUGCCAUGAUUCAGGCUAAAGUUUGAUUUUCUAAGGUGGUUAAAUUUAUUGUCAUCCCUUCUAGGAUUAUGUUCUUGCCUACGCUUAUAGCCCUUAAAAUGGCCAGUAUUUUUCUCAAAGUUAGCAUGUGCUUCAGGCAAUGCUUUUGAGCCAGCAGGUUUAAGAUCAUGAUUUUUUAGCAGUAAUUCAUUAGUUUGCUCAGCAGUAAGAAGCACAGAAAUUAAUUCAGAAUAUGUGGCAAACUGACGCUGCCGGUAUUGCUGUUGCAAUACAAUAUUUGAAGCAUGGAAGGUAGAGAAAGUUUUCUCUAACAAUUCCGCAUCAGCGAGUUUGAUACAGCAUAAUUCAAGCCGAGAAACGAUAUCAAAUAAAGCAGAAUUAUAGUCAGACACUGAUUUAAAAUCUUGCAGUCUGAGAUUUUGAUAAUCAUAUUAUGCUUGAGGGAGGAUAACAGUUUUGGUAUAAUCAUACCUAUUCUUCAACCUCCUCCACAAGAUAUGAGGAUCUCGAACGGAUAAAUAUUGAGUCUGCAGGCUCUCAUGCAAAUGACGGCGAAUAAAAAUCAGCGCAUUUGCUUUAUCCCUUUCAUUUGAGGUUCCAUCCUCUGUAAUUGUAUUAGCGAGACCUUGCCCUUGGAGGUGCAUUUCCAUGUCAAGGCACCAGGAUAGAUAAUUCUUUCCACUCACUUCCAGGAUGUGGAAUUUGGGCUUUUCAAUAUUUGCCAUAAUCCUUGCAAAAAUAAAUCCUUAAAUUAAUUAAAAGGAUUUCCAAAUAUCCACCGCUACUUCAAGAGCAGAAAGAUACUUUUAGAUUUGAAAUAUGGCUUCGGGCCAAGAAAAAUAAAAAUGAAGAAUUGAUAGAAGAAGAUGAAGUAUAAGUUGAUUAAUAAAAAUAAUACCCACCUUGCAAAACUUACUUACUCAGUCGGUAGAUCCUCGUGCUGAUAACGUGUUGUAAAAUAUUGCGUUGCAAAUAUAUAAUAGAGAAAUUGAGAAGAGAAAGUAAGUGAACACUAGAGAUGGUAGAGAAAGCCAGAUAUUUCACUGUAUUAUGAUUGUUGUUCUGAUAGUUGUUGUGUUAUUAUACAUCAAAACUUAAACUCAUAUUUAUAGGAGAACAAGAAUGCAAUUAUCAUUAAUAUCAAUAUAUCGAAUAAUACAUGUACAAGAUAAGGGAGACGAACGUUUAUUGUAUAGGGAGAUGUACUUAGAACAUUUGAUACAAAUGUACCAUAAUAAGUACAUUGGAUAAGAUGAAUAUAAUGAAUAUUCAUUCAUGUAUUCUAUUCAUUCAUGUAUUUCAUAACAGGCCCUACUUUCCUAUCUCAUUGUUUUAUUAUCUGGGGAUUUAUAUUUGCUUCCGCAUGCGUAUAUUAAACAAAUGAGUCAGUGAUGCGUCCUAGGACAUUGCUAUUAUAUUUACCGAGCAGGGAUGGGCACGAGUCCGGAGGGUCGAGGCGUGACAAUGGAGAAGCUGGAGAAGGGCUCGAUGGCGAACCCGGCCUGGACGAGGGCCGCAUGGUCAGGCACUACUGGUUGAGGAAGUCGGAACUCAUGCCGGCCUGGUUCCUGAAGGCGCUAGAUUGAGAGCACGCUCGAUGCCAUCUGCAAUUUCGCUGCCAACGUGAUCAACGAUAAGGUCAGUUCUAGAAUUUCGGUCGUUGUUGCUCUCUGUGUGGUAACAGAGUCUAUAGUUCCCUGCGUUCCUUUUUUUCUUUUUCUUUUUUAGAAUCGGUUGGCUGUCAUAAAUACCUGUGUCAGUUUUCUGUUAAAUACCAACAUUGUCUUAGUCACUCAAGGAAGUGCGAGCCAAUGAUAAAUUGAAUUGGUUUAUGGUCGAAGAGGUUGAGAGCUCAUUUACGUGUUAUUCACUUGAAAUGACCGUGUAUGGAAAUUUCCGACUCUGAGACGCAGUAAUUUCAAAAUUUUCUUUAGGUUUUCCAAUUAAUGUCAGCAUAAAAUUCGGUUUUUGAUCGUUGGUUUUCUUUUAGUGUGCUUAGCUGAUUGCAUCGGACACGGAUGGAUUGAUUGACUUGAUUAUCUUUGACGCUUAAUUUGCAGAUUAAGCCCCCUCCUCUUCUCCCGUGGAUCGCUUUACCCAAGUACUUUUAGUUGGAAUCGGAGGUUCAGCUCUUGGGCCACGGUUUCUUGCAGAGGCAUUGGCUCCCGAUAAACCUCCAUUGAAGUGUUGUAGACCGGAGUGUCCAUCCUCCUCUCGCAAUCUACCCUUCGGGUAUUUAGCUUCAUGGAAUGUGUUGCUCUUUUAAAUUUUUAUACCUUCAUUGAUCUAUCCAUUUAAGUUGUUGGUCGAUGUACAUUGCACCGUUGAUAAUGGAGGUGAGCAUGGCCCUUUUUCAUUCAGUUGGGCACCGAACCAAACGAAUUGCAUUAAUACGGUUUGUUGGAUGCAAAUUGCGUAAUCCCAAGAUCUCCAUAACUAUAACAAAAACAUGCAUAAUUGAGUAGAAAUAUUAGCGCACCUGUUUUAGGAUCCAUUGUUCUUGAAACGGAAGCGGAAACACAAUGUUCCACGCGCAAGUCCUUCUCCUCUAUUGCCCUCCGUAUCACUGGCUCAAUGAGACGGCCCCCCUCACGUGUAGCGUUAGAUAAACGCCCCUUAGGUGAGGAUACAGGUGAGAAUUAGGGUUAGAGAUAUGGUGGUGUGGCAAAUGGAUAACAUCUCUCAUAGAGAGAUCCCAUUUGCCAGUCACCAUUCUCUUACCUUAGGCGUUACAAAAACUUGUGCCACUAGAGAAUGCUUUAUGGUUCCAAUGAACCCACGUAUGUCUUGUCCUUACGGUUAACAUUUAUUUAUGUAUCACGAGACAUAUGCAUGAGGCUAAUAACCAGAUGCCCCUAGCCUUCACUCAAGGUUUAUACAAUCCCUUGAGACUUUAUCAAUAACAACUCAUUCAAAAAUAUUUUAUUGAAUGCAAAAGUUGAUACAUAUCAAACCGUUACAAAGUGUAAUGAACACAGAUGAAAUCUUUAUCAGAGUAAAACCAAAAUAGCUCCCACUAAAUAACAGCAUCUCAUAAUGCUUCUAAGCCUAUACUAAUGACAUGUCACUUAAAUACACAUGGGCAUAGGCCUUUAAUUAGUGGAUCUGCAACCAUAUCAUCUAUGAAAAUAUAUUAUAUUAUUAUGUCACCUUACUGUACCGUUUCCUUUUAGUCAAAAAUUUUGACCACCAUAUAUUUAGACCCCUUGAGACCUCUGUAAUAAAUAAAUAAUACUACAAAUUUGUUAUCUCAAUACAACCGUAUGGAUCUAUUCAUAAAGUUAAAACGAUCAACUCCUUCAUGAGGUUAUGGAGCCUAAAAAGCCAAAAUAAUGUUACUAACACUGCUUACAUAGUAGAAGAUGACAUAGAACUUUAUUUACUGCACUUACUGCUAACAUAAAUAUGUAUUCUGUUAUUGAUUGCAUGUCAUCAGAAUAGCCAGCAAAGUUUACAUCUAAAUACCCUACUAACUGCAAGAAUUUAACAUGUCUAUAAAUUAGCAUAUAAUCCAUUGUCCUCUUUAAGUACAUUAAAACCUUCUCAGCAGCAGUCCAGUGAUCACGUCUUGGAUUUGACCAAUAUCUGCCUAGAAAUCCCGUCACAAAGAUGAUAUUUAGUCUAGUGCAAAUUCGAGCAUAUAUUAUACUUUUAAGUGCACUAACACAAUGUACACCCUUCAAUUAGAUUUUCUCAAUAUCUAAAUAAGGACAAUGUGAUAGAUUUAGUCCAUCACCCUUAACAACAGGAGCAAUUCUUGGCUUACAAUGAUGUAUAUUGAAUAUUUUUAAUAUACAAUCAGCAAAUGUCCUCCGAGAAAAUCUAAUAUAAUAUGGCAAAAACAAUCCUUACAGACCUCAGUACAAUGGACAUAAGAUAUCUAAAUGUCACAACUUGUAAGCAAAAUAUCAUGUACAUAGAGUAUGAAAAAAUAAAUUUUCUCCCACUGACUUUGCAAUAUAUUGAAUUACUUUGUUCACAAUUGAACAAAAUAAUAACACUAUGAAACUUUAAUAAUAUUGUCUAGAAACUUGCUUAAAACUAUGAAUAAAACUUUUCAGUCUACACACAAAUUUACUUGAAACAUUUGUGUCGCGACCUACCCUCGGGGGGAGGGAACAGGUUUAGGGGUAUUGCCCAAAGUAUGGACCUAAGACCCAUGAUUAGGCGCGGGCUCUCCCAAGCCCAUACCCCGCGUGACGUUGGGAUAUUUUUCAUGAAUUUUUGCAUAAAAGGAGUCGCCACUAGCCUAUUGGGGUCGGCUAGAAACCAAGUGAGGCAUGGGAGCGUGCCUCACUUCCUACGCAACCAGAGAAUUUAGGUUCGGGGACUUGAUUACACUAAUUAACCAAUUAGUGCCCUUUCGGUACCUAAUCUUGUUCAUUUUAACAAAAUGAAUUUUUGGCAAGCAAUUUGGAUUGAUUUUAUAUUUAUCCACUAACAUGUGAGGUGAUCAUGCAGGCGCGCAAUCAUUAAAGUAAUAAACACGUGCAAUCAAACAUAAUAAAAUAUGCAAAUUAAACAUGCUACAUAAUAAUAAACGAGCAAAUAAAUGCCUAAUUAUAAUAAACGAGCAAAUAAAUGCCUAAUUACACUAAAAAGGCAGUACAUAACAAUUCCUAGCCAAAUCCUACAUUUUUUGGAUUUUCGAAAUUUUUAAUUUUUUUAAUUUUUUAAAAUUUUUUUUUAAUUAAGAAAAAGGUCGAAUUUUUUUGAAUGCUUUCUGAGUUUUUUUGAAUUUUCGGAAAUAUUUUUGAAUUUUUUUGAAUUUUUUUUUUGAAUUUUUUUUUUAUUUUUAUAAUUAAUUUUUGAAUUUUUUUAAUUUUUUAAUAUAUAUUUAAUAUUUAAUAUUAUUAUACUUCAAUAAAAUGGGUUCGGACCGGGUAAACCCGAUCCGACCCGCGGACCCAACCCGAACCCGGAUCCAACACUUUUAGAUUUUUUUUUUUUAAAAAAAGAAAAAAAGAAAAAGAAAAGAAAAGAAAAUAUUAAAUAUAUAUAUAUAUAUAUAUCCUUUCGGUUGUCUUUUCUCACCGCACACUCUGUGUCCUUUUCUUGCACCUACUGUUCAACAGUCAUUCCCGAAGCCCACUUUUCAUUUUAUAGUUUUCUAUUUUUCAUUUUGCUUUUCUUUUCUUUCUUUUGAUUGAUUUUUUUUGUUUUUUUUUUUAUUCCUUCUUUCUUCCCUUCUGGCCUUUUCACCGAACAUCCCCAUCUAUUGUCUUUCCUUCCCUUUUAUUUUUUUGGGUUUUCCUCUUUCGCUUUUUUUUACUUGCUGGUUCUCCUCUUUUCUUUGUUCUUAUUUUUUUUUAUUCUUUCCCUCCUCCCUUCUGACCUUCUUCAUUACGCUUUCAUGCCCGACUCUUUACCCAGGACAUCCUUCAACCGAGAACCCACCGGCACGACAACACCAGUGAGAGCAACCGCCAUCCUUUCCACCGCCAAAACACCACUAUCUACCCGUUAUCCACUCCGACCGGCAACGACCACCGUCGGCCACGAACACCGACAGCCAAACCAUUUUCGGAUGCAAACAUUCCCACGGCUCAAACACACAUGGUUAUUCCACGAAAAUCGUAUAGAUUCGCAAUGGAAACAUAUAAGAAAGGUACGGUCCAACAUAUAUAUGAGCAAGCGCGAAUCAGACGGAGUUUAAACUUGGGAUGCUUCUCGGUUCUCUUUGGGGCAUUUUGUCAAAUAGUCGAGGUGCAGCAGCUAAAAGGGGCAUACGGACUCACUCGAGGCUCGGAUUCGGGUAAAGAUCAACACAACAACAUGCAUGAGCAACGCUCAAGAUCCGCUAAGGGACAUAUCAAUCACAUUCGAACGGAUGUGAGUACAACAAGUAUCUUUGGGCUUCAACAAACUUGCAGAACUUAGAUAUCGUUUACACAUUUCCACAAGCAUUUGGUGUGCAUUCCUGACAUGGGGAAGUUUCCGCACUAGACAAAUCUAAAUCUCCCUACGACAUAUACUAGAAUAGCUAGCAGCUUUCAAGGAGGACCGGCUCAGACCGAAAUUCGCACGAACUAGUCGGCACGAGCUCCGGCCUAACGCUUCCCGAAAAAAACAAGUACACACAGUCGAGACAAAAGCCUACCUGGUUCAAGAGGAGGAACGCGUCAAAUAGCAACUGACGAACGAACCUCCGGCGACGACCAACCACUCUCUCGAGCUUGCACUUUCUAUCUAGGUCGCUCACUCGCUCCCUCUCCUCCUCGGUCUCUCUCUCUCUCUCUCCGUUUUUUCUUUGUCUUGGGUCCGCCCCCCCUUUUAUCUGUUCAUCCCUUGUUUUCUUUUAAAACUGCCGUUGGUUCCCCUUUUUUUUUGUCCGAAAUGUCUUUUGCUAGCCCACGAAGCCAGCUCUCUUUCUUUUCCAUCUUCAGCUCUAAUUUUCCUCGGUCAGUCCAACCUCCUUGCCUCUAUGUAUGUCUGCGGUCAGUUUUCUCCUUGGGACCGAGUUCAAUCUAUUUUCAGCUACAACAAUUGCAGGUUUUCUUGGACUUCGUCAACUGCAGGAGCUGCCACGCUGCAGCCAAGUGUUCAUUGCUUCCAUUUUUCUGAAAUCGCAGUUGUUGAUCCUCUGCAGAUCCUUCUUCGGCUUCCUCCUAUUCUGUCUUCUGUUCUGUUUCUUUCUUUUUUGCAGGUCUUCGAAGACGACACAGAGGGAAGAAGACCCUCGCUCGUGGGCUGAAAGGGAAAAAGGGGGGUUGGGUUGUUGUUGUUUCUUUCUCUCCUUUUUUUUUUACUUUUUGAUUGAUGAUUUUUUUUUGUAAAAAUAGGUGUCAACAAUUUGUUGCAAAAUCCUCAAAUUGCACAAUAUAGAUUUUGUAUCUAUUUGGCGUAACUCCAUAUCAAAAUAAAUUAUUAUUGCCACGUUCACUCUGAAAGAAUCUUUAAAAAAAACUAGAAAGAAAUAUUUAUUUCUUCACUAUUAACUAUCCACUCAUCUUUCAGAGUGAAAACUUUAGCUACCAAUUUGGCUUUAAAUUCCACAAUCUUUCUUUGAAAUUUUUUUAGUUUUGUACACUUAUUUGCAACUAAUGAACUUAUGAUCUUUAGGCAAGUAAGUUAGUUUCCAAACACUAUGAUGUUUCAUAGAUUGUAUACCGCCUUUUAUGGCAUCUAAUCACAUACUUUAUUAAGAAUAAGAAACGAUGUUUAUAAAUAUGUCAUUACAUCAACCAUACAGUAGAUAUUGUAAUCAUGCUCUCACAAAUAGACUAUAUAAUCUGAUGGUAUAACUGAUCGUCUUUCCCUAACAAAUCUCCUUAAUAAAGCUGCAACCACUUCAUUCUGCACUUGAGAGGUUUAAGAAAUUUCAUUAUAAACUAUAUCAAGAAUAGUACCUUGAAACCACCGCCCGCGGUGGCCGCGCUGGUUUGGGCUUAGUACGCAUUGCGAGGGCGGAGGAGUUCGAAACUUCGUGGUCGCGCUAACGCGCGAUUUAACUGUGGUUCUAGGUCAGCGGUGGGGGCCUAGGUCACCCCAGGGUUUACUCCAAAUAGCGGAAAGCGGCGAAAGGAAGUUCCCUGGGUACCCAAAAAAAAAAAAAUUAGUACCUUGAACCUCAACAAGUUUAGUCUAUGGCACAUGAGAUUCCAUAAUUAUCUAUAUAGGUAAAGACAAAAACAUAGUAACCUCCAUCAUACUAUUAUCUUUAAUAGUCUGAGAGCAGCUAUCCUCUAUAAUUACGCCAAUCUUUAGAAAUUUUAGAAUAUGUGAUUCCAUAAUUCUCGUACCUUCUUUAGGGUCAUAAGAUCAAUACCCCUUUAACAAUUUAGAUAAGAUACAAAAUAAUUGCGAGUGGAUCUGAAUUCCAACGCACUUAAUAUUGGAUUAGAUAACUUCACUUUUGCAUGACACCUCUAAAUUUCAUAUGAUUCAAGUAAUUUAUGUCCAAUUUAUAACUCAAAAGAAGUUUAUGAAACAACUUUGAUAAGAGAUACAUUUUGUAUGUGAAAAAAUUGCUUUCAUAAUAUCAGCCCAAAAAAAAAAAAAAACAGAUAAAUUAGUCUUACUAAUCAUACUCAUCACCAUGUUCAAUAUGGUGCAUUUAUACCUUUCGGCCAAAUCUUUUUGUCAGAAUUUUCAGGUAUAGUAAUUAAAUUACCACCCCAGAAUUUACCAAGUACUUGACAAAUCACCCUUUAAGCUAUUUUUUUUUUGGUAAAGUCACCCUUUAAGCUAUUUCGUAUUGUCAUACUUGCCAAAAUACUCACGGCCACUGUUAAACCUGACAACCUUUUAAGACUAAUUGUAAUUGUUUUAUUUUUUAUCUUGGUCAUUUUCCUUAAAUAGAAAACUUUCGGAGACAACCUUUUAAUCAUAUACGAGAUAUAUAUGUCAUUAGGACUUAAACACAAUCUUUGCAAAUAUGUUCUAAUUUCAAUAUCAGACAAGACAUAAUUUCAAGCAACUAAGGCUUCCAUUAUCUUAUAGCAGUGCAGUCCGCAGGCAAACCUCUUUUCAAGUGUUCCAGAAUGGAACGCUUCAUGGACAGUAAGCAAAUUCAAUUGCUAUUUUCUCAAGCAACAAAUCAUGUGUCCACAACUUAAAAUUUGAAGCAGUAAAAAUCUCAAUAAUAAUGAAGUAAUUAAUUACAGAAAAGGUGACUGAAAACCAAGCAAUAUAUAUAAUUAGCAUCAUGUGAGUACCGUGUAACUUGACAUACAAGUACACAUCCAGAAAUUUAUAUGCAUAAUCAUAUAAUCACCUUUGGGCAAAAUACAUGACAUGCAGUUGUACACUCCCCACAUGAUAGCGGUUAUGAGAAUAUAUUCCAAUUCUUCGUGAAUUCAUCACCUUUAGGCAUAUGAAUCACUAGAAUCAGUCACUCCUCCACCACACUAUCAUGUAUCCCUCCAUAAACUAAUACACAAUCACCUCCUUUGGGAGUAUGACUACGCAUUAGAUCAGGAGACAUCACAAUCAUCAUACGAGACCAAAAUUUGUCAAACCCAAUCAAGCGUGCCACUUUGGCGGUCACUACUCAAUUGAAUCAUUGAAAUUCUCUCAUACUAGGGAUAUAAACUUUACUCCUCACAUACACCAUAUAUAUGUGAUUUUAACUUUAGUGAUAAGGACAGCAUAUCACCAAAAUCACAUAUCAUGCUAAUUACAUUGCUUUAAUCAUUAAUAAAAAUUAAUCAUACAUAUAUAUAAAUAUAUAUACAGCGAACCUGAAAGACAGAUUCCAAUGAGAUCAUUGAUCACAGUAACACAAGAAACUUCUCAUCACAAAGAAUAAAACAUCUCUUAUGCACCCCGAUUACAUAUUACCAGAACAACAUAAAAAGAAUGCUGAUAUAAAAUAUCUCUCACAAAUUAACAUCAAUAGUAAUAUAAGGUGCACCAAAUCAACAAGCUUGACAGCUUAUCCAUUAUCACUCAUGAGUUCAUAAGCCAAAAAAAUAACUCCAAGGCCAACAACUGAUUUAUUAGCCAAUUUUUAAGUAACAAAUUAUCAUUGUAAUCAACCAGUGACCUAUUAAUUGAGUCAAACCAGAGAACUAAAUAUCUAAAAUUUAACAGUAGAUACUAUUGCUCUGCGUAAAUGUUGUCAUACUCCUUAACCAUAAAAAAAUAUUCAACUUGAUAGACAUUAACAUGUGACCAGAUGAGUUCAUGUACCAUAUGCAGUAACUUAAUUGACAUGCAUUACCCACAUACAGCAGAUAUGUUAAUCAGUACAAUCAGUUUGGUCACGAGUUCUUAAGAACGUCUAUCAUUCAAAGAUUACCAGCGUGUCAAGGAGUAUGCUUGAGUAACAAAAGUUUCAUAACCUUUACUGUUUCUCAUCAGCUCAAUACAUAGCUCAAUUACUAUUCCAUAAUGGUUGUAUCUCAUUAAGCCAACUUCAGUUCACAAUAAAGUUUAAUUUUAUUAAUGAAUCACACCAUUAUAAUGUUUAUGUGAUAACAUACCUGUAACCCAAUACUUAUAUUUCCAAAAUCACAAAAAAUAUAAGAAAAAUACGCAAAAAUAUACUAAAAAUACACGUAUUUAGGGUUCCAUAUGUAUUUUCACAUCCAUAAAAUUAUCAAACAUGUAAAAUAAAUACACCACGACAUAGAGGAUGAUCAUACGAACCUAACGCCACCAUCCACGCGCCGAACGAAGGCUCCACGCGCCCACACGCGCCGCCUGAGUGCGCGGCGUGUGAAGCUCACGCGCGGCCUCCGGCGAUGCGCCGCCGACUGUCUUGCUCGUCUCAUCGAGCCCAAUCCGAAUUUAUGAUUUUAUUUUAUUUUUAUUGAACAAAAAAUUUCGAAAAUCACAAAUUAGGGCAAAAACUUUAUGCGUUCAAGUUCUAGGGUUAUGGUGGCUCUGAUAUCACAUGUUGGACGCAAAUUGUGUAAUCCCAAGAUUUUCAUAACUAGACAAAAACAUGCAUAAUUGAGUAGAAAUAUUAGCGCACCUGUUUUGGGAUCCAUUGUUCUUGAAACGGAAGCAGAAACACAAUAUUCCACGCACAAGUCCUUCUCCUCUAUUGCCCUCCGUAUCACUGGCUCAAUGAGGCGGCCCCCCUCACGUGUAGCGUUAGGUAAAUGCCCCUUAGCUGAGGAUACAGGUGAGAAUUAGGGUUAGAGGAGAGACUUGAGCACUAUUUAUAGAGUUUCCAGCCAGUCCCCCUCAUUACGGGCCAGGCUCAACUCGGCCCACACUAGCCAGCCCAUAUUAAACUAAUUAAGAAACAUUCUAUCUCACUUUAGACCAACCAUGUUUUACGGUAACCGUAAAAACAGUAAAUUACAAUAUCAAUUAAUUUAGUCCACAUUAGGAAAACUCUUACACGGUUUACCAAAUCAAACCACACUAUGUUCUUUUUGGUAACUUUUACUCCAUCCUAUUUUUCAAUGCAAGUUGAGCUGCUCACUUCCUUCGGUUUUAUUGGCAAAUUGUGCGGCAAGCCAGACUCUGUUUUUCUGCUUAGCGCGUUCCUUCCCCCUCAACAAAAAAGAGUCCCUCUAAAAUCUAUGGCAUGGACAAAUAUGUGCACUAUUUGGUGGUUUAAAUCAGCACCUAACCUAGCUUUUCACCACAUGUCAUUUUCUAUUGUCUUUAUUAGGAAGCAGCCUUCCAGGAGUUGGUAUUGUUCUAUGCUGAAGAAGUGGUCGAAACUGAUGUUCAAGGUGAAUCUAAGUUCAAAUCAUUGGAUGUAUAGAUCUACGAGAGAAUCCCUAUUUGAGCUUUGCCAUUAAAUUCCGUAUGAUAUCUGACAUUACCGUGCUUGUCGUCCAUUCGAGGUAUCUUCAGACAUUGUAGAUAAGUUGGCGGUGGCUUGUUUGUCUUCGUCCUUUCUUGCCUUUUCAAUUAGUUAAAAUUAUUUCUCAAGUCUUGGCAGCUCUUCCCUCAAGUGAGCAGUUCUCUUAAUGUUAUUCUUCCUACUUGGAUUAGUCAUAAUGUCAUUCCAUUUCGGGCUUUUCGUUGCAAGUUCAUCACUGUAGAUAUGAGAAUGAUCCUACUACCUUUCCUGUGUUGGCGAUUUUUUGACUAUUAACAGUCUGAAUGAUAUCUCAAUUUUACUUUUGGCAGAUUAGAUUCAUUGACAACACAGAUUUAUUAUCCUAUUGAAGAUGGAACACAAUCAGACUUGACCUACAACCUCCGGUGUAUGGGGAGGCCACGAGAGACUUGUAAGAAUCACCGUGAUACACAUGAUAUCAUUAAUUAAUGAUUUAAUAAUUUUUUGAAUGCUAUAUAAAAAACAUUGGUCGUAAGAAAGUGCAACUCAAUGCAACUCUUAUGAAAAGGUGUAAUUUUUAUUAGAAUGUGUAAUACUUAUGAAAAUGUGUGACUCUUAUGAAGAUACAAUAUGCUUUGAUGGAAGGCACUUAUUGAUAAUUUAUAAAAAUAAUAAUAAUAAUAAUAAAUAAUAAUAAAAAAGUCUAAUCCUUUCUCCACCCAAGACAACAAAAGUUGAUUCUGCAUUCGUCUAGGAGAGUGAAUGUAGACUUAAUAUAAGCUAAAUCACUGAAUGUGUUUACAAUAUCUAUUAUCUCUUCAUUCAUUUUAUUAUCUCUUAAUAGAAUUACUUGCAUUUGCUAUUGUUAAACUGAUUUUGUAUCUACCAGAGUUUAAUAUGAAGUAUUCCUAAUAAUUGUCAAAAUCAUUUAAAAAAAUUAUCCAUUUAAUUUGUAUUGUUAGCCUCAACACAUUUAUACAAAUUAAAUAAAGAAAAAAAAAAGGGAAUUCCUAACCUUUAUCGUUCAACAUAAACAACUGUUUUGUUGUAAAAUAAUGUGUAAGCUAAUAGACCGCGCAAUUCACUAUGGCGUGUAUAAGCCGCAAUUAUCAAGGUAUUCUUACCAAUGUCUACACUUGAGGAUUUAGAGCGGUUUCGGCUUCUCAAGCGGAAGUAUAGGCGCUCACUUUUGCUCUUCAUUAUCUGAUGCACCAAGGCCUCAAUAUGGAAAAUCUUAUCAUUGAAUCGGACUGCUUGCUCUUGAUCGAUAUAGUUCAAGCGAAACGGAAGCCACCGUGGGAAGAACGUGCGAUGUUCGCUGAGAUUGAAGACUUGAAAUCCCGUUACCCUAAUUUGCAGCUGCUGCAUUGUAAAAGGGAGGCUAAUGGAGUUGCCGAUUGGGCUGCUAAAGCCCACAAUAGAUCUGAUCUAGCCCAUAACUGGAAUAUAUUUCCUCCGUUUAUUUUGCAAAGUUUGGUAGCCGCCAAAGCCAUAGCUUCUGGUUGUAAUACCACUCCUUUAUGUAAUGUUGAAAGUACGUAAUGAAAUAUCUAUCUUUCUGACCAAAAAAAAAAAAUAAGGAGAUGAAAUUGCAGAGAACUCAAUAAAGGACAAUGAGGACAUUGGAAAUUAAGGCAGUUCUGUCUAAGUGUUGCUAUCUAGAGACUCAACCAUGAAGGAAAUUCACUAUGAAUUUCGAGAAUUACAAAAUUAUAAUCACUCAAUUGCUAAAGUCUUUGGCAAUGUCAGAUUAGUCUCAAAACAAACUCACAAAAUGUUAUCUCACAAUAUCUCAUAAAGAGUUCAUUAGAAAACUCAUAAAGAGGAAAUCUCAACACUCUUAUUUGCUUUCAAUAGGUCAAAAAUGAAAUUUAAACCUCGCGUGUUUGACGUCGGUCCAAGACCCGAGCAUUGGGCACUUCCCCCCGAACGUAAGCACGCGUUUGAGAUGAGGAAAUGCGUAUGUUGGUGGUGUGAAAAGACAAGGACCCAUAUUGGAUGUCAAAAGAAAGAUGAAAUUGAUAUUGGUAGUAUGAGUACCUAGAGGGGGUGAAUAGGUAUAUAAAGGAUUUUUCUUCAACAAUUGCACAAUACUAGACAGUUGAAGGAAACGAUAAUCAAAGUAAGACUGAGAGAAGAGAAAAUUGAACAAGCGGUUUAUAGUGAUUCGGCUUAUAUCAAGCCUACGUCCACUCUUCUUCACUGACAGCCUAUUGGCUAGAUUCCACUAUGAACAAAAGAGAAGUUACAGCACAGCUUUGCCUUGAUUCCAUAGUGUAGAUGUUCUACCACACUUCCUCAAGAUUUCUCACAAAUAUAGACUCUUUCUUUCGUAUACAAGUGUUCGCUCAAAGGAUUUGUCUAAACAAAAAGGAGCUUCAGACUUUGGAAUUCUUCUAUCGCGCACACCUUGAACAACUAAGACAGUCUUCCUUAUAUACUCCUUUAUGCCAUCAUACCCGUUGGCACUUACCAAAGGAAUUCCUCCAAUCUACCCGUUGGACGAAAUCAAUUAGGAAGAUUGUUCAAGCUAUUAAAGGAACGUGUUGAUAGCCCAUCAAUCAUGUUCGCCCAUACAAUCAAGAUCUCGGUUUCCAUAAGCAGAACCUUCCAAUAAUAUUUAGGCAAUCACCGGAUCUUCAAUUUAUCGAGUCAAUCUUCGAUCAAUCAAAGGACUCCGUUUAUCUUCUCCAGCCACGAGAUCUUCUCCAGUUGAUAAGGUCAAAUCCUUAACGAAACAUCCAAUUCUGGAUAACCUUUCUUCAAUGGAUUAGAGACUGUUAAUGAGGAUAGACUUUGAGUCUUGAGUCUGGCUGUCCGGAGGUCUUCAGACUUUAAAUAGCAGAGUCUGCAAGCCUUCAGACUAGAUUGAUAGAAACGUUUUGUCAACUUCAGAACACUUCAAGAAGAUUUCUCCAACAGAAAUAAUCAAUAAUUUCUAAUUGACCGACAACUUAAUGAAUUGUAUUUCUUAGCGAAGAUAGGUUUAACUAAAUUGUCAAUAGGCUUAAAUUUUGGGCUUCCUCUUGGAUUUUUGUAUUAUGAAGGUAGCGCAUUUUUACGGCACUUCGAUAUAAUAGCCAAUGAUGAUUAAUCAAUGGCAAUUCAAAGUGCAUUGGUAUCCUGGAUUAUAUAAGGAAUCUCACGGAUCUUCGUGAUUAUCAAGUACGUAUUGCCAUCACGAUUAGGCCCAUGAGGAGACCAUGGGUGCAUGUUUGCAUCGAUUGGCAAUGAUUGGAGAUUUGGGUCAAAAUUUGUCGAUGCAAAGGAACAUUGGACUUGGAUUGAGGGGAAUUGGCCCAAUGUGGUAGAAACUCACAUGUGAGGGGGAAACUGUUAAGUGCUCAAGUGAGUGGUAUGAAAAUAAAAUAGUCCCAUAUUAAACGUCCAAAGUUAAAAUAAGCAAUUGAUAAUACCUAAUUAAGGAGGACCUUUCUUAUUUAUGAAGCCGGUCUAAUGAAAUGCCAUAAGAGGAACUCAAUCACUAAAUUGAUUCAUUAAAAUAAAUAAUUACACCCUCAUCUAUGUAUAUGCAUGUUAAUGGAUCUAAAAGCAGUCAUAAUAGAAUUUUUAUAUAGAUAAAAUGGACUAUAUCUACAUAUGAUAAAUAAAAGAACUACUUUGCCUCGUGUAUCAUUAAGAGGAUGAGAGAAAAGAGUAGGUCACUAAAGAACGACAAUAAAAUUAAAAUGAAUAAAUAUCUGCGAAUCUUGCAUCGGUACCUAUUCUAAUUAAAAGGGCAAAAUGACAAACAAUUUUUACUCGAUACCAGAAGAAAAGGAAUAGAAAAAAAAUGUGUAAGCGCUCCAAUGCUUUCAGCCACUUUGUAUUUGACCAUUUCCAUUUAUUUCAACACCAAAUUAGAUUACAUAACAAUAAAUUAUGGAUACACAGUUAUCUUUGUAAUAAUGAGCUGUUACACUACUUAAGCCCAUUAUUACGUUAGCCUUAGCACAUAUAUUAUUUAAGGAGAAGUUCUUCUUUCCUUCUUCGUUAAUAACAAACGAGAAGGACCAAGAACAUUAUAAGGAAAGAACAGUGAACAUGCACGAGGAGAAGAAAGAAAGGAAAAACCUAACCAAGGGAACUUGAUUGCCUAUGUCACAGGCGUUAAAUUUGACCAUAGUUAGACACCAAGUAUUAGAUCAAUCCAUGGAAUGGAUCAUUAACAUUUGACUUGUUUGAGAUUAAUCAAUUGAAUAUAUGGUCGACUUGUUAUUGUGAGUUGAUAUUGUUGAUUGAUCUUAUUUGUAAAAAGUUUCAUUGGAAAGAUAUUAUCCACUUUUUGAUAUUUUACUUAUAUCUUAUACUGGAUUUGGGUUGUGAGUUUAUGGUAUUAAUUUAUAAUAAUGUGCAUAUAAAAGAUGUAUUACUUAUUGGGCUGUGAUUGCUCAUUUUAUUCAUCUUACUUGCUUUUCAGGUUCUUCAACUAGCCAUAAGCAAGUAAAAUGAGAGCAUUUACAUUAU